UUUUUUCUUCUAAGAAAUCACUUUUAGCUCUAAGCAUAGCGGUUAUUUUCUUACUUUCAUCCAUAGAAACAUAAAGAUCUUUAAUUGAUUCAUCAACCUUGGGCACAAAAAAUUUCAUCUUGAGAUUUUCCACAUCAUGAGCAAUUCUAUUAACACUUGUAGACAAAUCAUCAAUCUUACUAAAAUUUUCUUCUAUGGAAGUGUUGAAAACUUUUUGUGUAUUAAUGAAUUCUUUAAUAUUGUUCUCAAGAUCAGAGGUGUUCCGAUUAUUAUUAUAAGAUUGAUUUCCGUAGGAAUUACCAUAAUUAUUAUAGGAAUUACUAGGAAAAGGCCUAGGAUUAAAAUUACCUCUAUAAUCAUUGUUGUUGAAAUUAUUUCGAGAGAUAAAAUUCACAUCUAUGGCAUCACUAUUUUGCUUAAUCAAAGUAGACAAAGGCUUACCAUUAAGAUCAAUAGAAGCACUUCUACUAGCAACCAAUUUCACAAGAGCAUCAACUUUUUCACUCAAAGAAGAAAUUUCUUCAACCAAAUUAACUUUUUUACUAGUAAGAGAUCUUUCGGUAUGCCAUUGCAAAUAAUUUGCCAUAAUGUUAUCAAGAAAUUUGGUGGCUUCACCCAGAGUAAUUUCCAUAAAAGUACCACCCACGGCGGAAUCUAAAAGAUUACGAGAAACAAAAUUCAACCCCGCAUAAAUUUUUUGUAUGAUCAUCCAAAGAUUUAACCCAUGAGUUGGGCAAUUCCUUAGCAUCAUUUUCAUCAUUUCCCAAUAUUGUGCAACAUGCUCAUGUUCAAGUUGCUUGAAAUUCAUGAUCUGGGUUCUAAGGGAAAUAAUUUUUGCGGGCGGAAAAUACUUAGUGAUAAAAGCAUCUUUGCACUUAUUCCAAGAAUCAAUACUAUUACGCGGCAAUGAAGAGAACCAAAUUUUUGCAUAAUCAUGCAAAGAUAACGGAAAUAAUUUCAUCUUGACCACAUAAUUGUCCACAUUUGUUUAUUUUUCAUAUCGCAUAAUUCCACGAAGGUAUUAAGAUGGGACACGAUAUCCUCAUUAGGAGUACCAGAAAAUUGGUCUUUCAUAACAAGAUUCAGCAAAGCAAUAUUAAUAUCACAAGUGUCCGCACUAGUGGUCGAAGGAGCAAGCGGAGUGCCGAUAAAAUCAUUGUUGUUGGUAUUUGAGAAAUCACAUAACUUGGUCUUCUCUUGAGUCAUGAUGACCACACAAUAAGAUUGCACUCAGAAAAACAGAUCUGACAAGAAAAUGACGAACAAAAAGAGGGGCGAAUAAAAAUAGUAAAUUUUUGUGAAGUUGGGGAGAGGAAAAUGAGGGGCAAAUGGCAAAUAAUGUAAAUUGCAAGGAGAUGAGAUUUGUGAUUAGGAACCUGGUAUAUGUUUAAGAUCCUCCCCGGCAACGGCGCCAGAAAUUCCUUUUGAUGUCGCUUGAAGCUACGUCGGUAUUUCCCCAAAGAGGAAGGGAUGAUGCAGCACAGCGGCGCUAGGUAUUUCCCUCAGAUAUGAAACCAAGGUUAUCGAACCAGUAGGAGAAUCAAGCAACACAACGUAAACAACCCCUACACAUAGAUAACAAAUCCUCGCAAUCUGACGUGUUAAAGGGGUUGUCAAUCCCUUUCGGGUAACGGUGUCAGAAAUUGGUGUGUGAUGAGAGAAAGUGGUAAUAUAUUGAAUAAAUAGAUCACAAAUAAAAUAAAGUGCAGCAAAGUAUUUUUGGGUUUUUGGAUUAAUAGAUCUGAAAAUAAAAGCAAAUAAAAGUAGAUCGCAAAGGCAAAUACUAUGAGAAAGAGACCCAGGGGCCAUAGGUUUCACUAGUGGCUUCUCUCAAGAAAAAUACCAAACGGUGGGUGAACAAAUUACUGUUGGGCAAUUGAUAGAACUUCAAAUACUCAUGACGAUAUCCAGGAAAUGAUCAUUACAUAGGCAUCACGUCCAAGAUUAGUAGGCCGACUCCUGCCUGCAUCUACUACUAUUACUCCACACAUCGACCGCUAUCCAACAUGCAUCUAGUGUAUUAAGUUCAUGGAGAAAUGGAGUACUGCAAUAAGAACAAUGACAUGAUGUAGACAAGAUCUAGCUAUGUAGAGAUAGACCCCAUCGUUUAUCCAUAGUAGCAACGAUACAUACAUGUCGGUUCCCCUUCUGUCACUAGGAUCAAGGACCGUAAGAUCGAACCCACUACGAAGCACCUCUUCCCAUUGCAAGAUAAAUAUAUCAAGUUUGCCAAACAAAACCCAAAUAUCGGACAAGAAAUACGAGGCUAUAAGCAAUCAUGCAUAAAAGAGAUCAAAGAAACUCAAACACUUUCAUGGAUAUAAAAAGAUAGAUCUGAUCAUAAACUGAAAGUUCAUCGAUCCCAACAAACACACCGCAAAAGAGUUACAUCAUAUGGAUCUCCAGGAGACCAUUGUGUUGAGAAUCAAGAGAGAGAGAGAGAGAGAGAUGAAGUCAUCUAGCUACUAUACAGACCCGAAGGUCUACAAAGAACUACUCACGUAUCAUCGAAGAGGCACCAACGAAGGUGGUGAACCCCAUCCGAGAUGGUGUCUAGAUUGGAUCUGGUGGUUCUGGACUCUACGGCGGCUGGAUCAAUAUUUUGUCGACUCCCCUAGGGUUUUGGGAAUAUUGGGGUAUUUGUAGAGCAAAGAGGCGGUCCAGGGGGCACUGAUACGUCUCCAACGUAUCUACUUUUUCUCACGCUUUUCCUCAUGUUUUGGACUCUAAUUCGCAUGAUUUGAAUGAAACUAACCCUGGACUGAUGCUGUUUUCAGUAGAACUUCGAUAGUGUUGUUUUUGUGCAGAAAUAAAAGUUCUCGAAAUGGAACAAAACUUUUCGAGGUAUUUUUAUAUAAUAUAGAAGAAUUUCUGGAGCAAAUACCUACGGAGAGGGGCCCCUGGGUGGGCAUAACCCACCAGGGUGCGCCCCCUCUCCUAGCGCGCCUAGGUGGGUUGUACCCACCUGGUGGACCCGUAGACCUCAACCCUGACAUUAUAAAUUCCUAUUUUCUGAGAAAAAUCAAGGAGAAAGAAUUAUCUUGAUCCACGAGACGGAGCCGCCACCAAGCCCUGUUCUUCCUCAGGAGGGCAGAUCUGGAGUCCGUUUGGGGCUCCGGAGAGGGGGUCUUCGUUCUUCGUCAUCACCAACCCAUCUCCAUCACCAAUUCCAUGAUGCUCCCCACCGGGAGUGAGUAAUUCCUUCGGAGGCUCGCUGGUCGGUGAGGAGUUGGAUGAGAUUCAUCAUGUAAUCGAGUUAGUUUUGUUAGGACUUGAUCCCUAGUAUCCACUGUGUUCUUAGAUUGAUGUUGGUAUGACUUUGCUAUGCUUAAUGCUUGUCACUUUGGGCCCGGGUGCCAUGAUUUCAGAUCUGAACCGUUUAUGUUAUCACCAUUAUAUCCAUGUUCUAGAUCCGAUCUUGCAAUUUAUAGUCACCUACCGGCAACCCCGGAGUGACAACAAUCGGGCCCACUCCCGGUGAUGACCGCAGUUUGAGGAGUUCAUGUAUUCACUAUGUGUUAAUGCUUUGUUCCAGUUCUCUAUUAAAAGGAGGCCUUAAUAUCCCUUAGUUUCCAAUAUGGACCCCGCUGCCACGGGAGGGUAGGACAAAAGAUGUCAUGCAAGUUCUUUUAAUAAAGCACGUAUGACUAUUUAUGGAAUACAUGCCUACAUUAUAUCAAUUAACUGGAGCUAGUACCGUAUCGCCCUAGGUUAUAACUGUCACAUGAUGAAUAUCAUCCAACAAGUCACCGAUCCAAUGCCUACGAACUUUUCCAUAUUGUUUCUGCUAAGUUACUACUGCUAUCAUCACUGUUACACUUACUACAAAAUUACCGCUAUCACUGUUACUGUUACUAUUGUUGCUGCUACUACUAUCAAAACUAUCAAACACUUUGCUACUAAUCACUUUGCUGCAGAUAAUUAAUCUCCAGGUGUGGUUGAAUUGACAACUCAGUUGCUAAUACCUUCAAAUAUUCUUUGGCUCCCCUUGUGUCGAAUCUAUAAAUUUGGGUUGAAUACUUUACCUUCGAAAACUGUUGCGAUUCCCUAUACUUGUGGGUUACCAAGACCUAUUUCUGGUGCCGCUGCCGAGGAGCAUAGCUAUAUUUGUCGAGUCACUUGGGAUUAUUAUCAUAUUAUCACUAUGAAGAAUCUGAAGGAUCCAAAGACUAAGAUAUUUCCCUCAAAGAUGAGGGGAGGUAAGGAACUGCCAUCCAGUUCUGCUUUAGAUUCACCUUCUGUUAUGAAUAAACUUGCAACACCACCACAUGCUAUUAAUUCUGAUAUGUCACAAGUUAUUGAUGAUGCUACUUCUACUAUGAAUGAUGCUUAUGAUGAUGCUAGUACCUUGCUUGAUAAUGAUGAUGUGCCACUUGGUGAAUUUCUUGAUAAACAAAUUGCUAGAGUUAUACAACAUGAUGUUGUUGAAUCUGAUGAUGAGCUUGAAACUGAAUCUCCUGAAACACCUGCUAGAACUAGCCUUCCUAGAUAUGAAUUCCCUAAGGUACCGGAAGGUUAUGUUAUGAGUGAAGAAACAACUCGAGAUAUUCUUGCUUGCAAUGAUAGAGAUGAUCUAGAGAAAUUACUACACAAGUAUAAAGAAAAUUCUAUGAAUGCUAGAAUGAAAUGUGAUCCUAAGUUUGCUACUUCACCUAUCUUUAUUGAUGACAAGGAUUAUGAAUUCUCUGUCGACCCAGAGUUAAUAACUCUGGUUGAAUCUGAUCCUUUCCAUGGUUAUGAAACUGAAACUGUUGUGGCACAUCUUACUAAGUUGAAUAAUAUAGCCACCCUUUUUACUCAUGAUGAGAAAACUAAUUAUUACUUUAUUCUCAAAUUAUUUCCUUUCUCAUUAAAGGGUGAUGCUAAAGCUUGGUACAAUACUCUUGCUCCUCGUUGUGUGCAUAGUCCCCAGGAUAUGAUUUACUACUUCUCUGAAAAAUAUUUUCCUGCUCAUAUGAAACAAGCUUCCUUACAGGAAAUAUUUAACUUUGUGCAAACUAAAGAAGAGAGUCUCCCACAAGCUUGGGGGAGGCUUUGCUAGUUACUUAAUACUUUGCCUGAUAAUCCUCUUAAGAAAAAUGAAAUACUUGAUAUCUUCUAUAAUGGGCUAACCGAUACUUCUAGGGACUUCCUAAAUAGUUGUGCUGGUUGUGUUUUCAGGGAACAAACUGUUGGACAAGCUGAAGAAUUAUUGAAUAACAUAUUAAAAAAUUAUGAUGAUUGGACUAUUCUUGAACCACCGCCUAAACCUACUCUGAAGAAGAAGGGUAUAUUAUAUCUCAGUCCUGAAGAUAUGCAAGAGGCAAAGAAAUCUAUGAAGGAAAAAGGUAUUAAAGCUGAGGAUGUUCAAAUUUUACCUCCUAUUGAAGAAAUACAUGGGCUUAAUACAUCACCAAUGCCUAAGGUGGUAGAGGUAAAUUCUCUUAUGAAGUUUAAUGAUAAUGAUAAUCCUCACAAUAUUGAUCCUAGUCAAUGCCUUUAUGAGUUUGAAAACUACAUUAGAAAAUAAGAUCACUUCAAUGCAAAUGUUAUGAAACAAUUGAAAUAUAAUCUUGAUAUGAUUGCUCGCUUGAGUGACUUGUUAUUUCGAAUAUCAAAUGAUGUUAGAGGUGUUGGAAAGCAUGCUUCUAUGGUUCAAACUCAAUUAGAUCAAGUUGCUAAAUCUCAAAGAGAAUUGCUUGAUGAAAUGCAUAAUAAUAUGAAUGACUUUGCUGUUAGAGUUGCAACUAGAGGAGGUAAAAUGACUCGGGAACCACUUUAUCCUGAGGGACACCCUAAAAGAAUUGAACAAGAUUCACAAAGAUCUAACACUAGUGCACCUAGUCCUUCUAGGAAGAAAAAUAAAAAUGAUAGGACUUUGCACACUCCUAGUGAACCUGAAAUAGAGAAACCUCCUGAUAAUGAUAAUGAAGUUUCUAUCUCAGAUGUAGAAACUCAAUCUAGUAAUGAACACUCAUCUAAUGACAAUGAAAAAGAUAAUGAUGAGGUUCAUGAAGACUCUCAACCAAACAAUGAAAAAGUACCAGAUAAUGAUGUUGAGAUAGAACCACCUGUUGAUCUUGCUAACCCACAAGCUAAAAAUAAAAGAUAUGACAAAGAGACUCUGUUGCUAGAAAACACGGUAAAGAAAGAGAACUGUGGGUUCAAAAACCUAUGCCUUUUCCACCCAAGUCAACUAAAAAGAAUGAUGAGGAAGAAUUUGAAUGCUUUGCUGAAAUGCUGAGGCCAGUCGUUUUGCGUACUCGCUUGACUAAUAUCUUGAAAAUGCCUCCUUAUGCAAAAUAUAUGAAAGACAUCAUCACAAAUAAGAGAAAAAUACCGGAAGCUGAAAUCUCCAGUAUGCUUGCUAAUUACACUUUUAAAGAUGGAGUACCUAAAAAACUUGGAGAACCGGAAUACCAACUAUACCUUGAUCUAUCAAAAACAAUUAUGUGAAAACUGCUUUGUGUGAUUUAGGAGCUGAUGUUAGUGUUAUGCCUUUCUCUUUAUAUAAAAGACUUGACUUGAAUAAAAUCACACCUACUGAAAUAUCUUUGCAAAUGGUUGAUAAAUCAACUGCCAUACCUAUCGGUAUAUGUGAGGAUGUGCCCGUUGUUGUUGCUAAUGUUACUAUUUUGACUGAUUUUGUUAUACUUGAGAUGCCCGAGGACGACAACAUGUCGAUUAUCCUUGGUAGACCAUUCUUGAAUACUGCAGGGGUUGUUGUUGAUAGCAAUAAAAGCAAGAUCACUUUUCAUAUUAAUGGUAAUGAGCAUAUGCUGCACUUUCCAAAGAAACAAUUCCAAGUGAAUGGUAUUAAUGUUAUUGAAAAAUCUCCGACAAUCACUAUUAGAAGUUUUCAAAUACCUCUACCUACUGUCAAAAAGAAAUAUGAAAUACUUAUAGUUGGGGAAAUGCAUAUCCCCAUUGAUGUAACUUAGUGAUUUACGAAAGUUCUUUGGUUUCAUGCUAAUCGAAAGUGGUUGUUAAUAAGACUUGACCAACCUUAUUAAUGGAUCAUUUUUGAACGGUAUGAAGUUGAUGAAUUUAUAAGCACUACUUUCUCUCCCUACUUGUUAUUCUCUGUUUUUAUCAGUUAAGUAAAAUAAAAUGCCAUGUUUUGCCUGUUUUCUGAAUUUCCCGUGCAAUAAAAAAUGACCCAAAAAUAAAAGUUCUCAGAAUGCCCUGAAAAUUCAAUAUGAUUUUUUUCUGAAUAUUUGAGAAUUUUUUAGUGCAAUAAACAUCAGAGGGAGGUGCACCGGGUGGGCACAACCCACCUGGGCGCGCCGGCACCCCCAGGCGUGCCCUGGUGGGUUGUGGUCCCCACGUGGGCCCCCUCACUUAUAUCUUUAGCCCACAUCAUCACUUACCUCCAGAAAAAAAAUCCCCAUUGCUCUCUCUCUCCCGUGUUCUUGAGCUCAAACCCGCGGAUUUCGAUCUCUUUGCUCGAAGCUCCGUUUCCGAAACUGUUUCGGGGGAUUGUUGCUUGGUAUGUGACUCCACCAUUUUUCCAAUUAGUUUUUGUUUUAGUGGUUUAUACUUUGAAUAAUUAGCUACUCUUGGUGCAGCUGUAGAUGUGCUUGCAUGUUGAAUUCUUAGUGUUCUAAGUAGUUUGAAUGCUUGCUAUGGCUUCUAUGUAUCCCUAUGAGUAGUUGCUAUCAAAUUUGUGAAGUUUUGUUGAGAAAAUUUUGUGGACAAAAAAUUCAGAUUUUUGUUCAUAGGAAAAAUUGUACGCGGACAUGAAUAUCUCCAGGAAGUUUGUCUCUAAGAAGAACUCCAAGGGUGUUAUUGGGGAGUCUUCUGACAGUGAUCUCCACUCUCAGUGGUUGGAGGAGGUACGACCAUGCGAAUGGCCGCACACCCCGUUCCUGCAAGAGGCUGGAAUUCUUGAGGAGUUCAUGCAAUAUGUUGCAAACGCCGGCCUCACCGACUUCAUCGCAGAUGAGUGUGACCAGCACCACAUCCUCACAAACAACUUUGUUUUACUUUCUUGCCUAGAAAUAAUCCUCCUGAAGUGAGCUUUGAUUUAUAUGCUGAAAACCAUCAGAUACUGCUUACUGAGUUUUGUGACAUAUGAACGAUCCCGUCUGAUGGGAGCUUGGCCGAGCCCAAGCCGGCCGAGUUUGAGGCCUUUUAUCACACUCUGAUAGUGGGUGAUGAGAGAGGAGUGUCAGCCAUCACUGCCGCUGGCUUACAUUUUCCUGCUGUUCGUUACUUUGCAAUUUUUAUUACCAAAUGCUUGCUUGCUAGGGAGAAGGUAGGUGCACUUAGUUCACCAGACCUUGCUGUUUUACGUCGUGCACUGGAAGGCGACAACACACAUAGCUUGGGAGCUAUCGUGGCUCGUCGCCUGCAUCUUAAUAAAUUUUAGGGUAAAUACAUGGUUGGAUUUUUGCCACUCGUUUGGCAGCUCAUUUCGAGGUUGCGAUACGCCCUCAUGAUUACCCUCUAACUAAGGUUUACCUAUAACGUGAAGCCAUGGAUCACCAUCACUUUCUUGCACAUGAUCGUCCUGACAUUGCCAUUCCUUACAACCUGGUCUAUAGCACUGAAACUCGUGAUGUUAUUCCAUUACCCGCGCCUGCUUUGUUUGAUUCUGCUGCCAGGACAGAUACCGGACUAUGCCUGCAGAUUUCAUCGCCUACUAGAACGCUCAUGCUGCUGAAGAGGCUACGGAGGAGCCUCAACAGUGGGAUGAGUGGAUGCCUGCUCCUCAGGAUACAUACUACCAUCCAGGCUACUGAUCGACUACCAAGUUAGGCCAAAAGCCUAAGCUUGGGGGAGUACGUGUCUCUCACCAACAUUACAGUCAUGUCCACUUAUUCCAUUUGUCGGUGUUCACACUUUUUCAUUGUAUCAUCCAUGCUUAGAUUUAUUUUCUUGCUUUCUUCUUGUGUGUUUGAAAAACUUUAGAAAAACCAAAAAAUAAUUAGUUGUAGUUAAUUUACUUUCUAUGCAUGCUUAGUUGAAAUACUAAAAAGAAGAAAACCCAAAAAGAUUUCCUUGUUCUUCUUUUGCUUGUUGGGAUCUUUCCCGUGUAAAUACUUUUCUUGUUUUUCUUUUUCCUUUUAUUAGCUUGCUAAAGAAAAUCAAAACCUCCAAAAAUAUUUCAUGUGUUUCUCUGAAUCUAUUUUCCUUUUAUUCGAGUUGUACCGAGGAGAAGACCACGAUGAAAAUGUUGAGUGGCUCUCAUUUGAAUAAUUGUUGAACUAAUAAAGAGCACAUUUCACCUUGUCUUCUCCUAUUGAAUAAAAUGUUUUGCAGAUUCUAGCAUAGUCCAUGGUACUCUUGCACUAUUAUUUGUAGCGACUCGACCUUAGAUGGUCAAGUCUCUGUGCUUCAGUGUCAUCCCUAGAUCAGUAAUGCUGACACACACAGUACUCAAAGGAUUUAUAACAGAGCAGUAAUCACACACUUAUUACAUCGAAUGUCUCCAAAAGAGAACUUAUUACAAUAAAUAUGGCUUAAGGCCAUCUAAAUAAGAUAACAGCGGAAGGCUUGGAAGAUAAAGUGAGUCCAUCAACUCCAACAGCAUAGGUGAGUGCAUGACAAACGACCUAGCGCACCUUACUCUUCGUCUGAAAAGUCUGCAACAUGAUAUGUUGCAGCCCGAAACGGGCCAGCACAUGGAAUAUGCUGGCAAUAUAACACAGUAGAGCAAUGAAUAGAUAAAUGCUAUCACUACAUGCAUGUAUAGCUGGUGGAGGCUCUAUGGUUAUAAUGUUUUGCAAAAAGCCAAUUUUUUCCUACAACAAAGGAAUAUAUUUUAUUUAACUAUCAUGGUAGUUGAAACAUCAUUUAGAAGGUUCCUCCAACUCAAUCCCAAUUAAAGUAUUCAUUAACAUCCCAACAAAUUAAUUUAGAGUGAUGAGAUCAAAUCAAUAACUCAAGUACCAGAUACUCAAGAUGUGCAUAACCGGGGACACGGCUAACCAUGAUUAGUUUAUACACUCUGUAGAGGUUUGCGCAUUUUUCCCCACACUUUCGCUCUACAUCUGCUAGCCUACCACUGAAAGAGGUCACACAACAUACUCAACUAUGCCAGAGCCCAUAAUGGCUUGUUGGUGCACACGGAAGUUUCUAGCAUGAAUAAUCUUAUGAUCCCUUUGAGCCUGGGUGGCGGACCGUAGGAUGAUCACACGGGUACUCCGGGAUAUCCUAGGACAACACUGGAUUCUCCAGGUGCCCACGAGCAAUCCACCCAGAUGUGUAUUAAAGUUGCCACCUUAAGUUGAACCAUUAAUUAACAACUCACAUCUGUCAUGGAUACACUCAAACCCAAACCACGCCUACAAGCAUAGCGUGGCAAUAUAAGCAUAUCGUAGGAGUAACUCCCAACGGUUUGAUAAUAAAAGGUCAAUAGGUUCUAUCUCAUCAACUACUUCCCAAAUCUUACAUGUUAAGAGAUCUUACUCAUGCAAUGUGUGAGGAUUGUAACUAAUGCAUAAAAACUGGGUAAUAAAGGGGUAUGAUCAAUGUGUUACUUGCCUUGCUGACGAUCUGCAAAUCCUAGAGACUCGUAGUAGCACGCUUCGCACUCCGGGAAUUCUAUCGCAACAAACAAUAGCAUACAUAAGCACUCAACUAGAAGCACGGAUAAAACUAGAAUAAAAAGAUCUAACCAGAAAGUUCAACUGAAGAACUCCGAUUUGCAAAAAGAAUCAAAUCAAAUGGAGCAACGAAACUCAAACCACGAAAGAAACAAGAUCCAUUUACUAAUCUAAACUAAAGUCAAAUUUUAUAGUACCAAAACCUUGUUCAAGUUGGUUAAACAGAAAGAGGGUUUCGAGACGAAGAUCUAGGCGCUUGUUUCACCUGAUUUGGAUAAACGAGCGAAAAGAUAAAAUAAAACAAAGAUCAGGGCAGAAAUCACGAUCGAAAAUAAUCGCGGAAAAACCCUAGAAAAUAAAAUGAAACAAACAGGCUAAGGAAGGAACGUUCGCUGUCCGCGGCUAAUUGAUGAAUAGCGUUCGUUAAAGCGAACGAACGGAUGAACGUCCGCUAAAAACUGAACCGAGAAAGCCAAACCAAACAAAAUAAAAAAAAUGCACCUAGGGUUUAAAAAAACGAUCGGUUUUACCUACACCGAAAAAACCGGGCGCCGGAUUCCGGCGAGAUCCGGCUAACGGUGGCGGCUUCGGCGGGCUUGCGCGGGCGGCGUGGCGAGAUGAGGCGCGGGGUUCACGGCGGCGCGGCUCGGCAGCAGCAGCGGCGGGCGGCGGCGGCAUGCGUUGGCGGGGUUUGCGGCGGCGGCAGCGCGUCUUGGGGCGGCGGCGCUGCUAACACACCCAUGAUGCGGCUAUAUCUCCCACGUGCUGGAGCACAACUUAGGGCCUGUUUGGGACUGCUUCGCUUCACCAAAAUUAAUUUCGCUCCACUAAAUUCACUUUGGAGCAGUUUUAUCCAGAAGUUGUAGCACUACCAAAGAGAAUGUUUGGCUUCCAUCUAGCUCCAGCUUCAAGAAUGAGAAAUUUGGUGGAAAGGAUCUAUUUGAUUGGUCGAGGGGGAGAAACGAAUGGGUAUCCACUUACUGGUGGCAGUGGUGGGUAAUUUCCACCCAACUCGAGCUUCUAGAGUUCUUUGGAGCACCCCUUGAAGAGCUUCAUAAAAAACUGGGAGUUGUGCCCCAGAUUCUAGUUUUUUUUGUGAAGCGGCAUAUCGUGGAGCUACCCCGUUUGGCUUGUGUUUUCUGAAGCGGAGCUGAAUUUUAAGGAGCAGAGCAGUCCCAAACAAGCUCUUAGAGGCAUAACCGCAUUGUAGGCAUGUCGCAAGAGGGGUAAUCUUUACACAUCCCAUGUACUGAAUAUGAAAGGGAUAAAGAGUUGGCUAACAAUCGGCACUUCACACAAUACAUGAAUAUAGCAUUACAUCAUCCAGAAUACAAACAAGGUCCGACUACGGAACCAAAAUAAAAGAAGACCACCCCUAAUGCUAGAUCCCCGAUCGCCCCGACUGGGCUCCACUACUGAUCAACUGGAAAUGAAACAACACAACAAACACGAUCUUCAUCGAGCUCCUCCUUGAGCUCGGUUGCGUCACCUGCAUAGUUAUCAUCGGCACCUGUAACUGUUUGAAGUAAUCUGUGGGUCAUGGGGACUCAGCAAUCUCACACCCUCGUGAUCAAGACUAUUUAAACUUAUGGGUAGGGAAAAAGGUAGUGAGGUGGAGCGGCAGCAAGCACUAAGCAUAUAUGGUGGCUAACUUACGCAAAUGAGAGCGAGAAGAGAAGCAAAGCACGGUCGUGAACUAGAAGUGAUCAAGAAGUGAUCUUGAAACUACUUACGUUCAAACAUAACACAAGAACCGUGUUCACUUCCCGGACUCCACCGAGAAGAGACCAUCACGGCUACACACGCGGUUGAUCCAUUUUAAUUAAGUUAAGUGUCAAGUUCUCUACAACCGGAUAUUAACAAAUUCCCAUUAGCCCAUAACCGCAGACACGACUUUCGAAAGUUCAAAACCCUGCAGGGGUGUCCCAACUUAGCCCAUCACAAGCUCUCAUGGUCAACGAAGGAUAUUCCUUCUCCCAGGAAGACUCGAUCAGACUCGGAAUCCCGGUUACAAGACAUUUCAACAAUGGUAAAACAAGACCAGCAAGACCGCCCGAUGUGCCAACAAAUCCCGAUAGGAGCUGCACAUAUCUCCUUCUCAGGGCACGCCGGAUGAACACUAUGUACAACUAAAACCAACCCUCAAGUUUCCCCAAGGUGGCGCUGCAAGUAGCUCUGUUUUCGACCAACACUCAGAGGAGCACUGGCCCGGGGGGUUAAACUAAAGAUGACCCUUGAGUCUGCAGAACCCAAGGGAAAAAGGCUUAGGUGGCAAAUGGUAAAACCAAGGUUGGGCCUUGCUGGAGGAGUUUUAUUCAAAGCAAACUGUCAAAGGGUUCCCAUUAUAACCCAACCGCAUAAGGAACACAAAAUCAAGGAACAUAACACUGGUAUGACGGAAACUAGGGCGGCAAGAGUGGAACAAAACACCAGGCAUAAGGCCGAGCCUUCCACCCUUUACCAAGUGUAUAGAUGCAUUAAUGUAAACAAGAUAUAAUAAUAAUGAUAUCCCAAACAAUAUCCAUGUUCCAACAUGGAAAAAAUUUCAUCUUCACCUGCAACUAGCGACACUAUAAGAGGGGCUGAGCAAAGCGGUAACAGAGCCAAACAAUGGUUUGCUAGGACAAGGUGGGUUAGAGGCUGGAACUGCAAUGUGGGAGGCAUGAUAAAGCAUGUGGUAGGUAUCGCGGCAUAGCAAAAGAGCGAGCAACUAGCAAGCAAAUAUAGAAGUGAUUUCGAGGGUAUGGUCAUCUUGCCUGAGAUCCCGCAAGGAAGAAGAAUGAGUCCAUGAAGAAGACAAACAGGCGAAGUCGAACGAAUCAUCGGAACUAACCCGAAGAAGCAUCACCGGAAAUAAGCAAACAACAUGGUAAACAACCAUCACAUAAUCAUGGCAUGAUGCACAAGCAAGUAUGAUGCAUGUCCGGUUUAAUGAAGCAUGGCAUGGCAAAGUGCAACAAACAAAACUACAAAUUAAGUGGAGCUCAAUAUGCAACGAGUUGCAUAUUGACGAAAAAUCACAACAAGUUAUUUAGUUCGAUCUCGUUUAUGUACCCAACAAUAUUAAAUGUUGAUUAACAUGGCAAGAGGUGAAGCAAAUGAAAACUACCUAUCUAGGCAAGUUUAAAUGAGGCUGGAACAACAAACAACAAGUCCGGAAACUCCUCAUAUGCAUAUUUUUGGUUUGGUAUUGUUUUGCCAUAAACCAUAUUUUAGAGUUAUUAAAUAUGCAAAGUAAAUCCACCAUGUUAAACUAGGCAUUUUUCCACCCCAUUUACAUAAAGUUUGUUAAAUUUGGAGCUACGGUUAAUUAGUUAUGAAAUAAAGCAUUUUAGCAUGUCAUAGAGCAAAAAUUAAUCAAACAACAAUUUUAACAUGUUAAACAUGUAUGAAAGUGGCAUAUUAUUAAUCUACACAUAAUUCUAAGAAUUUUUGAUAUAAAGUUUGUUUUAAUAUGAUGCACCGUUUGUGAGCUAUUAAAUGAAUGAAACUAAGGUGGUUUUCUGCAAAACAGGUCUUCUCUGGAUAAUAGAUAAAUACGCAGACAGGAAAAAAACAUCAACAGGCCGAAUCCAGUGCAAGUUGGGCCAACAGAGAGGAGGUUGUGGGGAGCUCACCCUGGGCUGAGGCCCACAAUGAAGAGGAUAGGUGCGCACUGGGCCUUGGGGAGGCGCUAGCCUCACGCGUGCGCACUGGGCCUAGCAAGGAGAAGACGCGGUCAACACGAGUGGUCGUCUCGCUCGUUUUCCUCGCGCACAGAGACGAGCGAGAGGAGCAGAAGCAUGGCAUGACGGCGGCAGGGAACUUGGCGCACGGCGGAGCGACGGGAACGGGAGGCGGUCAACGGGCACAGGCGAUCUAAGGCAAAGUUGAAUUGGCGCUCGGGUCAUCCUUGACCUCGCGUGGGCUACACACGCAGAAGCAGGGGAGGCCGAGGUGAUAUGCAGAGGAGUGACGGGGAUGGCGGAGCUCGGCGCGGAUCCAUGCCAUCGAGGCGUGAGGGUCGCCGGACGGAGUGGAUCUGGCUGACCCCGUCCUGAUCAAGUGGUAGAGCGGCUCGCCGGCGGAAGCUCGAGGUCGGGCGUUCAUGGCGGGACUUGGGGCGUUGUUGAAGGCUCCAGCGACGGGGACGACGGGAGGCAUUAAAUCCGGGGUUGGGGAAUCUAUUCCCGGUGACAAGGUGGCCUGGCGCAGCGCGAGCUUGGAGAUCCGGGCGGCGACGAUGAGGCCCAAGGCGGCAGGGGUUGAUUCCCUGGACGCAACAGAGAGAGGGAAUCGAGUGAGAGAGAUGAGUUCGAGAAGAAGGGAAGGAAGAAGGAUAGGGACACGAUGGGGAGUCCGGCCUGGCCUGCUGGUGGCUAUCGGCAACGGCGCCGGUCGUCGGACGGCGGGGCAACGGGGAGGCCAGAGAUGAGGCCGUGCACGGGCAAGAGAAAGAGGGGCGCUGUGCUAUGGUGGUUGGCUUGCUGGGGAAAACGAGGGAGAGGGUGGAGGCUUGGCUGGUGGUUUGGAUCGGGAGGAAUCCCGAGGAGGAUUUGGAAAGUGGCGGCGCGAGGGGGAAGGAUGGGACAGCUCUCCUAGAUUUUAGGGUUGCGUCGUUUAUAUAUGCUGGUGGAUUAGGUUAGGGGGGUAUUGGGCCCAUCCGAUCGUUAUCGAGCGGUCGAGAAAAUAUAGGUUAGGAAGCCCAAUUAACAAAACGGAGAUGUUUUGUAGAUGUUUGGGGAUGAUCUGAGUCCAACGGUGGCAACUUUCCAGGUCGGGUUCGGGACAGCUUUCGGACGCGCACGUGAGGGGGUCGAUGCACUGUUCAAGGAGGGGUUUCGGGGCCUGGCGGUUGAUAGCGGACUGUGCAGAAAGCUUUGGGCUGAGAGAAGAGAAGAGAGAGAGAGACCCGGCGACUGUUUCCGGAGACCGAAAAUGUGCGACGUUUGACCGAUUAUAUUGUCGCUAUAGUUAUCCGUUGGGGCAUCAAAUGGACUCCGAACGCGAUGAAAUUUGACAGGCGGUCUACCUACACUAAAAUAAGACCGCACGCCAACUUUCAACCCAAUCUGAGAACAUUUUCCAACCACUUAUAAAAUACUAUUUCGGACAUGCCGCGGGCGCGUGCAAGUGUGUCUGGCUCAGAACGGACAACAGACAGAACUGGGGGAACCCGGACGGAUGCAAGUUUCGAAAAACAUGAUGAUGCAAUGCGGAUGAUGACAUGGCAAGAUGCAACAUGCAAACAAAUGACAAGGCAACAACACGAAUAACUGGAAGACACCUGGCGCAACGGUCUCGGGGCAUUACAACACGGUGAGGGGCGGUGGCGGCAGCGACUUGGGCGUCCAGGGGGUGCGGGCGGCGCUAUUUAAAAAGGGGGGCUCAGCCUCGGGAGGAGUCCCGGGGGGCGACGGCGGCUCGCCCGUGUCCCGGCCGGACUCGGGCACGGCGGCGAAGGCGAUGGCGCGGUGCGGGCCAGCCUGGCUCGGCUGGGCCUUCGGCCCAGCCGGGCGUUGACUUUUUUUAAACCAAUUUCGCUGGACAAAUCCUAGAAAAUAAAAUAAAAAUCUAAAAAUACCAAAACAAAUUUUCACCAUCUAAAUAGAAUAUUUAGAACAAAGUGAACAUUUUCUUGGCCUAAAAAUGCAAUUUUGAAAAAUGCAUAUUUUUCUAAUUCAAAUAAAAUAGCAAUAAAAUCCAAAUAAAAUUAUUUAUUUGAUUUUAAUAUUUUUCCUCCAAUAUUUCAUUUAUUUUGGAGAAGUCAUAUUAUUUCCUCUCAUAUAUUUUAAUAUGAAAUAUUUUCGGAGAAAAAAUAAUUAAAACUGAAAAUGAUCCCUGUUUCAAUAUUUGAUAAAAAUUUCAAAUAUGAAAAUCAUGAAAUCCCCAACUCUCUCCGUGGAUCCUUGAGUUGCUUAGGAUUUUUGGGAUCGCAAAACAAAAUGCAAUAAAAUAUGAUAUGCAUGAAUGAUCUAUGUAUAACAUUCCAAAUUGAAAAUUUGGGAUGUUACGAACCUACCCCCCCCCUUAAGAUGAAUCUCGCCCUCGAGAUUCGGGUUGGCUAGAAAAUAGGUGUGGGUGGUCUUUCCGUAGAUCAUCCUCUCGUUCCCAGGUUGCUUCAUCCUCGGUAUGGUGGCUCCACUGAACUUUGCAAAACUUGAUAACCUUACUACACGUAACUCGGCUGGCAAACUUGAGAAUCUUGACAGGUUUCUCCUCAUAGGUCAGAUCACUUCCCAACUGAAUUGCUUCCAGGGGCACUGUGUCUCUCAGAGGAAUAUCGGCCAUUUCUGCAUGCCACUUCUUCAACCGGGAAACGUGAAACACAUCAUGAACUCCUGACAGUCCUUCGGGUAACUCCAACUUGUAGGCUACUUCUCCCAUGCGUUCCAAAACAUGGUAUGGACCUACAAAUCUCGGGGCUAACUUUCCCUUAACUCCAAAAUGUUUAACUCCUCGCAGAGGUGACACACGAAGAUGUGCUCUGUCUCCGAUUUCAUAGACUACCUCCUUGCGUUUUGAGUCUGCAUAGCUCUUCUGUCUAGACUGGGCUACCUUUAGUCUGUCUCGGAUCAACUUAACAUUUUCUUCUGACUCUUUAAUCAAAUCCGGUCCAAACAAAUGAUGGUCUCCAACUUCAUCCCACAUCAACGGUGUUCUACAGCUUCGUCCGUACAAAGCUUCGAAAUGUUCCAUCUUCAAAAUGGCCUGGUAGCUAUUGUUGUAUGAGAACUCCGCGUAGGGCAAGUUAUCAUCCCAACUAGAUCCAUAAUCUAGCACACAAGCUCUCAACAUGUCCUCUAGAAUCUGAUUGACUCUCUCGGCCUGUCCAUCUGUCUGCAGAUGAAAAGUUGUACUGAAAUCUAGCCUGGUACCCAAAGUCUGGUGCAGCUGGUGCCAAAACUUUGAAGUAAACUGGGUUCCUCUAUCUGGUACAAUAGUCCUUGGAACUCCAUGCAGACAUACGAUCCUGGUCAUGUAUAUCUUGGCCAACUUUGCGCUUGUAUAAGUGGUUUUCACUGGGAUAAAGUGUGCUACUUUGGUCAAGUGAUGCACUACUACCCAGAUAGAGUCAUAUCCUGAUCGGGUCCUGGGUAAUCCGGUGAUGAAAUCCGUGCCAAGCUUGUCCCACUUCCAUUCGGGUAUCGGCAUAGGCUGCAGUAAUCCUGCUAGCUUCUGAUGUUCUGCCUUCACUCUCUGACAUACAUCACAUACGGCUACAUACUCGUCAAUAUCCUUCUUCUUUCCAGUCCACCAGAAAUGCUCCUUCAAACCAAAUACAUCUUGGUGUUUCCGGGGUGUAUCGAGUAUGGCGAGUCGUGAGCUUCCUGAAGUAUCAACUUCCUGAUUUCUGCGAGUCGUGAGCUUCCUGAAGUAUCAACUUCCUGAUUUCUGCAUUAUUGGGCACGUAAACACGGUCCUCAAACCACAAGGUGUCAUUCUCAUCCUCAUGAAAACAUUUGGCUUUUCCUUCACUCAUCUUCUCCUUUAUCUUGGCAAUUUCUUUGUCAUCCUUCUGAGCUUCUCGAAUUUUUCCCAAUAAUGUCGAAUGAACUUCCAUUGUCGCAACAAAACCUCCAGGGACUAUCUCCAAACAAAGCUCCAUGAGAUCUUCAGCUAACUCCUUUGGCAAUCCUCUGCUCACGAGGGUAUUGGCGUAACUUUUCCGGCUCAUAGCAUCUGCUAUGACAUUGGCCUUGCCUGGAUGAUAGUGCAACUUCAUAUCAUAAUCCUUUAUGAGCUCCAACCAUCUCCUUUGCCUGAGAUUUAACUCCUUCUGUGUGAAAAUGUACUUCAAACUCUUAUGGUCCAUGUACACAUCACAAUGGUUUCCAAUAAGAAAAUGUCUCCAGGUUUUGAGUGCAUGCACUACAGCUGCUAACUCCAAAUCAUGCGUAGCAUAAUUCAACUCAUGGGGUCGAAGCUGACGUGAGGCAUAAGAGACAACUCUUCCGUCUUGCAUAAGUACUCCUCCGAGUCCUAAACGAUAUGCGUCGCAAUACACUUGGAAAUCUUUACGUAUAUCCGGUAGAAUCAGCACUGGGGCUAUAACCAAAUGUUUCUUCAACUCCUGAAAACUUGCUUCACAUUCCUCCGUCCAAUGGAACUUGGUGUCCUUUUUCAACAACGCCAUCAUAGGAUUCGCAAUCUUAUAGAAAUUAUCAAUGAAUCUCCGAUAAUAUCCCUCGAGUCCCAGAAAACUGCGGAUCUCUCCAACUAAGGUGCGUGCCAAUCACUCAGUGACUGACUGAACCUUGGUAGGGUCUACUGCUAUACCUUCUCCUGAUAUAACAUGUCCAAGAAAUCCAACUCCCUUCAACCAGAACUCACAUUUGCUGAAUUUGGCAUACAACUGAUGUUCUCUGAGCUUCCCGAGAACUAAACGCAAAUGCUCCUUGUGUUCCUCUUCAUUCUUCGAGUACACCAAAAUAUAAUCAAUGAACACCACGACAAACUUAUCCAAGAACUCCAUGAAUACCUUGUUCAUCAUGCUCAUGAAAUAGGCGGGGCAUUAGUUAAUCCAAAUGACAUAACCAUAUACUCAUAUAACCCGUACCUCAUGGUGAAAGCUAAUUUUGGUAUAUCCUUUUCUCGUAUCUUCAGCUGGUGAUAUCCUGAUCGCAGAUCGAUCUUGGAAAAGACUUUAGCUCCUUGCAGCUGGUCAAGCAAAUCAUUGAUCAUCGACAGUGGGUACUUGUUCUUGAUCGUCACUUCAUUCAAUGCCCGAUAAUCAACAACCAUUCUCAGAGACUUAUCCUUCUUCUCAACCAAGAGCAUUGAGGCUCCCCAUGGUGACGAACUUCGUGGAAUGUAACCUUUCUCCAAUAACUCCUUAAUCUGUUUCUUAAUCCCCUCCAGAUCAUUUGCGGGCAUCCGGUAUGGUCUCUUUGAUAUUGGUUUGGUGCCUGGCAAUAACUCUAUCAAAAACUCAAUGUCUCAAUCCGGGGGCAUGCCUGGUAGUUCCUCUGGAAAUACAUCUUGGUAAUCCUUUACUACAAGCACUUCUUCCUGAACAACUCCCAUGAGGGAAUUUACGUGAGUCCUCUUAGGGGUAUACCUGGAUACAUACUUAAUCCUUUUCCCUCCGGUGUGGUGAGCAGAAUUGACUUACUGGCGCAAUCGAUGUUUCCUCCAUACAUCGAUAGCCAAUCCAUACCGAGUAUCACAUCCAAUCCUUGGGAUUCCAAAAUUAUCAAGUCUGAGGGGAAAACAUGGCUUCCAAUGGUCAAUGGCAUCUGAAAACAUCCUUGACAUGCCAUAUACUCUGCUCCAGGUGAGCUUACUAACAUAGGUGUCCUAAGUACUUUAGUGGGCAACUUAUAUUUAUCCACGAAUCCCCUUGAAAUGUAUGAAUACGAUGCACCAGUAUCAAAAAGAACUAUUGCAGUAAAUGACUUAACCAAAAACUUACCGAUAAUUGCAUCUGGCUGCUCCUCAACCUCCUCCACAUUCACGUGGUUCACUUGUCCCUUGUUGAAAGGGUUGGGCUUCUACCCAAAGCUUCCAUUGCCAUUUCCGUUCUUCGCUUCAGGGCACUCAGUGGCAUAGUGUCCAGUUUUCCUGCACUUGAAACAAGUAAUGUGACUUAGGUCCUUCUUGGCGGGUGUGGCCGGAUUAGAGCGGGUCUGGUUGAUGCUUGCUCCAUUCCCAUUUCCACUCCUAGAGCCAUUGUGGUUAUGCGGAAUUCCUCUAUGGUGGUUAUGGCCUCCAUGGUUAUGGGUAAAUCCUCCCGAGUUUGAGGUGAAAUGGGGUUUCUGCUGAGCUCCUGAAUUGUACUUCCCUUGUCCAUACUUCCUCUUGCGGCUCUUAAUCUGCUGCUGCUUCCCUUCAAUCAUAAGAGCUUUAUCUACCAACUCUUGGUAGUUGUUGAAUGUUGCCACCAUCAACUGCAUACUCAUCUCAUCAUUCAACCCUUCCAUAAACUUCUCCUGUUUCGCGGCAUCGGUAGCCACAUCAUCCAGGGCGUAACGAGCUAGCUUGCUAAACUCCUCCAUGUACUGCCCUACAGUACGGUUGCCCUGGUGUAAGUUGUGAAACUCACGCUUCUUCAUACUCAUAGCUCCAGACAUGAGCAGUGUAGAAUGCUUGCUGAAACUGCUCCCAAGUAACAUUGGCUAUAGGGAAAGUGGCUGUGUAAUUUUCCCACCAUGCGGCUGCAGGUCCAUCCAAUUGGUGUGUGGCAAAACGCACCUUCUCAGCAUUUGUGCAACUGGCAGUGGUUAACUCCCUUCCAAUCUUGCGUAGCCAGUCAUCCACAACUACGGGCUCAGUGCUACUGGAAAACACCGGUGGUGGCGGUGGGUUGUUGUUGUUGCCCCGAUUCUGAACUAACAACUGCAUCAGUGUAUUCUGCUACUGGAUCAACUGAGUGAGCUCCACAUAUGCACAGGUCUAGUGAGAAAGCAAAUCUGGGGUCACAUCUCGGAGGCAUCUGAUGGGUUUAGAGGGGAGAGAUUAGAAUAGAAUCAGGUCUAGUGAGAAAGCACUACACAUAUGCACAUGAGACAAACACAAUCAAUAUCACUCCAAAACAAUAUCAAGCAAAGGCAUACAAUCGAUCUAACUAUCGUUACAGUGCUCGGACUACUAAUAUAUACAUGGGGGAAUUACUAAUCAUAUGGUGGCCAUCUAGAAAUUUUGAUCGGUGGAGGACUCCAUGAUAUCCACUCCAACUUUGUCUUCAUAAUCAUCAUCACUACCAUCAGGGUCGGUGUUGGUGUCGUCGAUGAUGAUGUAGUCUUCAGAAAGAAUCUCCUUGGGUUCGUUGUCUUCUCCUCCUGGCGUAGGGUCUCCCAUAAAUACUCCAAGCUUCCUUGUCAGUUCAUCAUUCAUCUCCACAAGUAUUGCGAUUUCCUCCUCAUAUCCAUCGCGUGUAGACUUGAGUUCCUCUUCUAGCUCCAUGUUCCUGGUCAUCGCCUUCUUAAAAUCUAUCAUGCUUGCGCACAUCUGGUUCUCCUGUCGACGAAUGUGCUGGUUUAACUCCUGGAUGAAAGCUGCAAUGGACCGGUCUCUCAUGGUGUUGAUCAUCUCCCAUUGCUCAUCUCGGCGCCCACAUAUCUGAUAGAUAGUGUCUUUGAGAUCCUUUCUGUAGACUUCGCCAAUGCGUCCCAUGGCGAUAUGGGCUGCCAUGCUCUUUCCUAAACUCCAGGUUGGUGCAUCAAAGGAAAACUCUAUGGGCUCAGUUACUGGCGUGAAUGUCAUUCCUGGAACUUGAACUCAAAUCAUCCAACGCGCCUCUUCUGGUAGUGUGGCGGUGUAGGUCCCGGUGAAGCUUGGUAUUCCAAUGUUCAGGUACCUAGUGACUUCCUUCAAGUGUCAUCCAAAGGGUGUGUCUUCAUCCGGUUGAGCAAACUUGUUCCUUGAGUCCACCAUCCUAAAGAGUAGAAAAUGGAGAGGAGUUAGAAAUGAGUAGAGAAGAGUGACCUAUGGCUCAUCUUAGUGGUCGUGUCCUACAUUCUGCGUGUGCUCUGAUACCAUCUUGUAGCGACCCGACCACAGACGAUCAAGUCUCCGUGCUUCAGUGUCAUCCCUGGAUCGGUAAUACUGACACACACAGUACUCAAAGGAUUUAUAACAGAGUAGCAAUCACACACUUAUUACAUCGAAUGUCUCCAAAAGAGAACUUAUUACAAUAAAUAUGGCUUAAGGCCAUCUAAAUAAGAUAAAAGCGGAAGGCUUGGAAGAUAAAGUGAGUCCAUCAACUCCAACAGCAUAGCUGAGUGCUUGACAAACGACCUAGUGCACCUUACUCUUCGUCUGAAAAGUCUGCAACAUGAUAUGUUGCAGCCCGAAACGGGUCAGCACAUGGAAUAUGCUGGCAAUAUAACACAGUAGAGGAAUUAAUAGAUAAAUGCUAUCACUACAUGCAUAUAUAGCUGGUGGAGGCUCUAUGGUUAUAAUGUUUUGUGAAAAGCCAAUUUUUCCCUACAACAAAGGAAUAUAUUUUAUUUAACUAUCAUGGUAGUUGAAACAUCAUUGAGAAGGUUGCUCCAACUCAAUCCCAAUUAAACUAGUCAUUAACAUCCCAACAAAUUAAUUUAGAGUGAUGAGAUCAAAUCAAUAACUCAAGUACCAGAUACUCAAGAUGUCCAUAACCGGGGAUACGACUAACCAUGAUUAGUUUAUACACUCUGUAGAGGUUUGCACACUUUUUCCCACAAGACUCGAUCGCCUCUGUUGGAUAUCUCGCACUACAUGGUGUUUGAGAAACGGAUGACCGAGACACAAUCUUUCAGAAGCAUUUACUCAAUCCUCUGGGUAGACAGUUCAACUACUUUCCCUCUACAUCUGCUAGCCUACCACUGAAAGAGGUCACACAACAUAUUCAACUAUGCCAGAGCCCAUAAUGGCUUGUGGCUGCACACGGAAGUUUCUAGCAUGAAUAAUCUUAUGAUCCCUUUGAGCCUGGGUGGCAGACCGUAGGAUGAUCACACGGGUACUCCGGGAUAUCCUAGGACAACACUGGAUUCUCCAGGUGCCCACAAGCAAUCCACCCAGAUGUGUAUUAAAGUUGCCACCUUAAGUUGAACCAUUAAUUAACAACUCACAUCUGUCAUGUAUACACUCAAACCCAAGCCACGUCUACAAGCAUAGCGUGGCAAUAUAAGCAUAGCGUAGAAGUAACUCCCAAGGGUUUGAUAAUAAAAGGGUAAUAGGUUCCAUCUCAUCAACUACUUCCCAAAUCCCACAUGUUAAGAGAUCCUACUCAUGCAAUGUGUGCGUAUUGUAACUAAUGCAUAAAAACUGGGUAAUAAAGGGGUAUGAUCAAUGUGUUACUUGCCUUGCUGACGAUCUGCAAAUCCUAGAGACUCGUAGUAGCACGCUUCACACUCCGGGAAUUCUAUCACAACAAACAAUAGCAUACAUAAGCACUCAACUAGGAGCACAGAUAAAACUAGAAUAAAAAGAUAUAACCAGAAAGUUCAACUGAAGAACUCCGGUUUGCAAAAAGAAUCAAAUCAAAUGAAGAAACCAAACUGAAACCAUGAAAGAAACAAGAUCUGUUUACUAAUCUGAACUAAAGUCAAAUUUUAUAGUACCAAAAUAUUGUUCAAGUUGGUUAAAUAGAAGGAGGGCUUCGAGACGAAGAUCUAGGCGCUUGUUUCACCUGAUUUGGAUAAACGAGCCAAAAGAUAAACUAAAACAAAGAUCAGGGCAGAAAUCACGAUCGAAAAUAAUUGUGGAAAACUGUGGAAAAUAAAACGAGACGAACAGGCUAACGAACGAACGUUCGCUGUCUGCGGCUAACUGACGAACAUAGUUCGUUGAAACGAAUGAACGGACGAACAUCCGCUAAAAACUGAACCAAGAAAACCGAACCAAACAAAAAAAUGCAUCUAGGGUUUUAAAAAAACCGACCGGUUUUACCUAAAUCGAAAAAAAUGGGCGUUGGAUUCCGGUGAGAUCCGGCGAACGCCGGCGGCUCCGGUUGGCUUGCGCGGGCGGCGCGACAAGGCGAGUCACGGGGUUCGCGGAGGCGCGGCUUGGCAGCAGCAGCGGCGGGCGGUGGCAGAGCGAGGCGUCGGGACUUGCGGCGGCGGCGCGACUUNNNNNNNNNNNNNNNNNNNNNNNNNNNNNNNNNNNNNNNNNNNNNNNNNNNNNNNNNNNNNNNNNNNNNNNNNNNNNNNNNNNNNNNNNNNNNNNNNNNNNNNNNNNNNNNNNNNNNNNNNNNNNNNNNNNNNNNNNNNNNNNNNNNNNNNNNNNNNNNNNNNNNNNNNNNNNNNNNNNNNNNNNNNNNNNNNNNNNNNNNNNNNNNNNNNNNNNNNNNNNNNNNNNNNNNNNNNNNNNNNNNNNNNNNNNNNNNNNNNNNNNNNNNNNNNNNNNNNNNNNNNNNNNNNNNNNNNNNNNNNNNNNNNNNNNNNNNNNNNNNNNNNNNNNNNNNNNNNNNNNNNNNNNNNNNNNNNNNNNNNNNNNNNNNNNNNNNNNNNNNNNNNNGUGCGGGCGGCGCUAUUUAAAGAGGGGGGGGGGUCGGCCUCGGGAGGAGUCCCGAGCGGCGACGGCGGCUCGCCCGUGUCUCGGCGGACUCGGGCACAGCGGCGGAGGCGGUGGCACGCUGCAGGCCGGCCUGGCUCGGCUAGGCCUUCGGCCCAGUCUGGUGUUGAUUUUUUUUUGAUAAAACCGAUUUCGUCGGAAAAAUCCUAGAAAAUAAAAUAAAAAUCUAAAAAUACCAAAACAAAAUUUCAUCGUCUAAAUAGUAUAUUUAGAACAAAGUGAACAUUUUCUUGGCCUAAAAAUGCAAUUUUGAAAAAUGCAUAUUUUUCUAAUUCAAAUAAAAUAGCAAUAAAAUUAUUUAUUUGAUUUUAAUAUUUUUCCUCCAAUAUUUCAUUUAUUUUGGAGAAGUCAUAUUAUCUCCUCUCAUAUAUUUUAAUAUGAAAUAUUUUUGGAGAGAAAAAUAAUUAAAACCGAAAAUGAUCCCCAUUUCAAUAUUUGAUAAAAAAAAUUCAAAUAUGAAAAUCGUGAAAUCCCCAACUCUCUCCGUGGGUCCUUGAGUUGCUUAGGAUUUUUAGGAUCGCAAAACAAAAUGCCAUAAAAUAUGAUAUGCAUGAAUGAUCUAUGUAUAACAUUCCAAAUUGAAAAUCUGGGAUGUUACAUUAUUAUUUUCAUAUCAUUCGGUCGUGCAAGUGAAAGGCAAUAAUGUGACAUUCGAUGAAGUAGCCGUGGCAAAGAGAAACUGGUAUGAACUCAACUUGUCAUGUCUGUGUAAAUAUGUUUAACCUAGGAUCCAGGCUUCAACCCAUUAUGAUCAAACAUGUUUGCAAUGACAAUUAAAGAUUAUAGUUUCUCAUGCCAUGCAUAAGUAGCUGGGAGUUAAUAAUGAUUUAUCUGGGAUAUCAACAUAGCGUUAAGAUGAUUGUGAUGUAGUAUGAUGAAUGGUAUCCUCCUUUGAAUGUUCAAUUGGCUUGACUUGGUACAUGUUCAUGCAUGUAGUUGAAUCAAAACCAACAUAGCCUCUAUAAUGUUUAUGUUCAUGGUGUUCAUAUCCUACUCAUGCUAGUGUCCAAUGUUACUUACGCAUAAUGCAUGGUUAUGAUCGUUGUUGCUCUCUAGCUGGCCGCUUCUCAAACUAAAUUGCUAGCCUUCGCCUGUACUGAGUGGGGAUUUUGCUUGUAUAUCGAAAACCUUGAACCCAAAGUUAUUCCAGAUGAGUCCAACAUACCUCCCUAUAUAUGGUAUUACCCUGCCGUCCCAAGUAAAUUUGCAUGUGCCACCUCUAAAAACUUCUAAAAAAAUUAUCCAUUUUGUGUUCCUGGAUCGUUCAUGGAAAGAUAGGAGGUGGUCAAUAUCUUCCAUGCUAAGCGGGUUAUUCUCAGGUCGAGUGUUUAUUCACUCGUCAUCGCAUGAGAAAAUGGGCGGUAAUAGGGAUUCCCAGUCCCGAACUCAAAAAUGCAAAUAAUUAAACAAAACUCCCCCGGGACUGAUGUUGGUAUGGACGGCACCCGUUGUUUUGGACAAGCCGUGGAGUGUGAUUGAUGGUGGAGGUGGAGUAAACCUUUACUUUUAUUGCUUGGGAACCACCACUAGCAUGCUUAGCGUGGAAGAUGUUGAUAACUGAUGGUCGUGAAGUAAAUGAGAAGGGUGCAUGCCUCAAAAUAUCGUUUAUCUCUGUUUUUAAAAUUGAGCUCUGACACCUCUGCAAAUCACUGCUUCCCUCUGCGAAGGGACUUUCUAUUUACUUUUAUGUUGUGUCAUCACCCGCUAAAACAAGCGCCAGAAACUAAGUAGAGCACAACGGUCAUGAUUUAUGCAUUGUGUGUAGCUAAUGUUGGGUGCAUCAUGACUGGAUCUUUUCUACCAUGAAUUACAAUGUUUAGUUGCUGCUUGAACUUUGGAGGUGCUCUGCAUUUAUGCUUUGCGGUCUCAGAAAGGGCUAGCGAGAUACCACUAUUGUCAUAUUAUAUCAUGGUUGUUUUGACAACGUGUUGCUAUUUGAGAUAUCUUAUUAUUGCUCGCUAGCUGAUUAUGUUAUUGAUAUGAGUCAUUAUAAUCUUUAAGAGUUAUUGUCCACAUGGUUAGUUAUAAUGCUGGCUGAAAACCUGGGUGCUGUUUAAGCUUAUUUAUGCAAACAAGAGCAAAAGAGUUCGUAAAAGUUUUUCUUUCUCACUUUCAAUUUAUCAAUUGAAUUGCUUGAGGACAAGAAAAGGUUUAAGCUUGGGGGAGUUGAUAUGUCUCCAAUGUAUCUACUUUUUCUCACGCUUUUCCUCUUGUUUUGGACUGUAAUUUGCAUGAUUUGAAUGAAACUAACCCCCGAUUGAUGUUGUUUUCAGCAGAACUACCAUGGUGUUGUUUUUGUGUAGAAAUAAAAGUUCUCGGAAUGGAACAAAACUUUUUGAGGAAUUUUUAUAUAAUAUAUAAGAAUUUCUGGAGCCAAGACCUACCAGAGAGGGGCCCCUGGGUGGGCACAACCCACCAGGGCGCGCCCCCCUCUCCUGGCGCACUCAGGUGGGUUGUACCCACCUGGUGGCCCCGCAGACCUCAACCCUGACACUAUAAAUUCCCAUUUUCGGAGAAAAAAUCAAGGAGAAAGAAUUAUCGCGAUCCACGAGACGGAGCCGCCGCCAAGACCUGUUCUUCCUCGGGAGGACUGAUCUGGAGUCCGUUUGGGGCUCCGGAGUGGGGGAUCUUCGUUCUUCGUCAUCACCAACCCAUCUCCAUCGCCAAUUCCAUGAUGCUCCCCACCGGGAAUGAGUAAUUCCUUCGUAGAAUCGCUGGUCGGUGAGGAGUUGGAUGAGAUUCAUCAUGUAAUUGAGUUAGUUUUGUUAGGGCUUGAUCCCUAGUAUCCACUAUGUUCUUAGAUUGAUGUUGCUACGACUUUGCUAUGAUUAAUGCUUGUCACUUUGGGCCCGGGUGCCAUGAUUUCAGAUCUGAACCGUUUAUGUUAUCACCAUUAUAUCCAUGUUCUAGAUCCGAUCUUGCAAGUUAUAAUCACCUACUACAUGUUAUGAUCUGGCAAUCCCGGAGUGACAACAACUAGGCCCACUCCCGGUGAUGACCGCAGUUUGAGGAGUUCAUGUAUUCACUAUGUGUUAAUGCUUUGUUCCGGUUCUCUAUUAAAAGGAGGCCUUAAUAUCCCUUAGUUUCCAAUAUGGACCCCGCUGCCACGGGAGGAUAGGACAAAAGAUGUCAUGCAAGUUCUUUUAAUAAAGCACGUAUGACUAUUUACGGAAUACAUGCCUACAUUAUAUCGAUGAACUGGAGCUAGUGCUGUAUCGCCCUAGGUUAUAACUGUCACAUGAUGAAUAUCAUCCAACAAGUCACUGAUCCAAUGCCUAUGAACUUUUCCAUAUUGUUUCUGCUAAGUUACUACUGCUAUCAACUAUUACACUUGCUACAAAAUUACUGCUAUCACUGUUACUGUUACUAUAGUUGCUUCUACUACUAUCAAAACUAUCAAACUACUUUGCUACUGAUCACUUUGCUGCAGAUAAUUAAUCUCCAAGUGUGGUUGAAUUGACAACUCAGCUGCUAAUACCUUCAAAUAUUCUUUGGCUCCCCUUGUGUCGAAUCUAUAAAUUUUGGUUGAAUGUUUUAUUUAGCGUUCGAUCUAUCAAUUUAAUACAAAUUAUCUCACGUACGUUUGCCACUUGAGGCGCCGUACCCCGAAAGGGAUUGACAACCCCUUUAAUACAUCGGGUUGCGAGGAUUUGUUAUCUGUGUGCAAGGGUUGUUUACAUUGUGUUGCUUGGUCCUCCUACUGGUUCGUUAACCUUGGUUUCAUAUCUGAGGGAAAUACCUACCACCGUUGUGUUGCAUCAUCCCUUCCUCUUUGGGGAAAUACUGACGUAGCUUGAAGCGACAUCAUGGUAGCACCACAAGGCCUGGCGCAGGAGUUACAUUUCCCUCCCGGGGCCCUCGGGACCGAGCUUCAGCGCCUUACUACGCCUACCUUUGAGUGAAUAACAUGUGGACCCGAUAGGUGGUUGGUCCACAUGUAAUGCUCCCGAAGGCAGAGGGGCAGUGGGGCCGAGAGGGGUGAGCCGCGGGUCGGGGACGUGUGGUGUCAUGGGUUUGAGCAGCGUCGUGGCGAUCGCGUGUGGCUGUGGAAGAAACUUUAUGCUCGCCGCAUUUCAGGUGGCCCACAUGGCAUGCACACAAAUGCAAAGGGGUGGUGCGGCCGAGAGGGGUGAGGCACACGUCGGGGGACGUGGUGCUGUGGGUUGGAGCAGCGUCGUGGGAAUCACGAGUGGCAGUGGAUGAAACAUGAUGGUCGCCAUAGUUGAACUUCCAUGGACAAGAUGUCAUGUCUACGGAUACAUGCAUUGCAUACCGAUCACUGCAAGGAGUAGUCGAGAAAGCUAGGCGGAUAAAUAGUUCCUUAUAGUCAAGCGGACCCAUGCUACUACUUGUUCCAAAGACAUGCACACCAUCAAAAUAGUCCAUCUAUAUCAAUAUACACAGAGAGGGAAUAAUUUUUUUACAAGAGAGGAAAUACUUCAUCCAUCCAUAAUGCCCUGCUGCUGGUGCAGCUUCUUCUUCUUCUUCUUCUUCUUCUUCUUCUUCUUCUUCUUCUUCUUUUCUGUGGGAGAUGGCUUCACAACAAGCUCUCCGGACCUUGCAGCUAUCUCGAAACUCACGCGGGCAUCGAGGGCAGCAUAUUUUAUCCACUCGUACGUCAAGGGAUAAUUCUCCCAUCUAGACGACCUUAAUGCCAGCGUCUUGUCACCCUUCUGAAGAUUUGUUCCGAGCACAAAAUUUGCUACGUCGAAUAGGGAUGGUGUCAGUUUAUCACAAUGUUCUACAUGAAUUUUUAUUUUGGUUUGUACGUCAGCGAUGCUUUUCAAAUCAAGGUUGUAUGGCUCCAACUUCUGUUUGUCCCCUGCGAUGGCUGCCCCACAGAAGUAUGUGUCCUCCCGAGACAAGAAAUCAUGAAGCUCACCUGGUAUGGAGGGCACGUGUAUGAUGCGGUACAAAAAACAUUGUAAUGACCCUAGACCGACGCUCCAGAUGCCUUCCAUGUUUUGCGUGACUGCCGUGUGUUUUAUUUGUAUGUUGCAUUUCAUCAUCGCAUCAUUCGCAUUACAUUGGCACUCGUUGUUGUCAUUGUUUUCAAAACUGGCAUCCGUUCCUAUUCGAUGCUUCUCCUCGUGGUCUUCGUUGACUUUUCUCGGACCAACCAUGUUUUUGAUUCCCUCUUGUCAAACCAGCUAACCUCUCUUGACAGCCCGCAGCCCCCUCGCAUGCGCGUUCAAAAACUCCCCUAAACCCAACAUGGGCCAUCAUCACCGUUGGAUUCGGAUCAUCCCCAAACAUCCCUAAAAUAUCUUCGGUUCUUUGUUGGACUCCCUUAAGCUAUUUAUUCUCGACCGCCCGAUUACGAUCAGAGGGACGGAUUAGCCCCUAACCAAAAACCCACUUGCUAUAUAUAGACGGAACCCUAGAAAUUAGGAGCCUUGUCCCAUCCUCCCAGCCGCCGCCGCCAAUCCUCUUCCACCUCGGGAUCCUCCCGAUCCAAAUCCACCCGCAGCCAACCAUCUCCCUCCUCGUGUUCAACCACCACCCAACCAAUGCCCUCCACCGAUCUCCCAACCAGCCAACCUCCUCCUCCUCUUGAUCCAUCCCCGCGGCCACCUUUAGAUCGAGCAGGAGCACUCGGCCUCGUCUGCUCGCGCUGUAGAGCCCCUAAGCCUCCUUCUAGGACAGCCGAGAACCUUCCCGAACCCGUUGUUCCUCGCCGGACCAGCAGAUGGACCUCGCCGCCUUGCUCAAGGUCACGCCAGCUGCUCCCCGUGCCCUCUCUCUUUUCUUUUCUCUCUCUAACCCGUCAGCCUCUCUCUUCCUCUUCCUCCCAGGAACCAAGCCAUGGUGCCCGAGGCCUCCCCUGCCUCGCCUCGCGUCUCCCCAUUGCUGUCCAACCUCGCCGGCCGGCCAUCAAAGCCGCCGCCCCGGCCACCUUGCGCGACCUCCUGCCCCGUCCUCGUCUGCGAGGGAGAUGAGCGACCGAAGCCGCAUGCCCAGUUCCCCUGCAUCGUGCGAGUCGUUGAGUCCCCUACGUCAAGCUGUCGCUCGCCUUCAAGCCGUCGUUGUGUCAAGUCCCCUGAUCCCGGCCUCCACCGCUCGGAUGUGUGCCCCCUUCCAUCAUCCUUUGCGUCUGCUUCCUCCGCAUCACGCUAGCGCCGCCCUUGUCGUCACGGCGUUCUUCUGCUUCCGGCGUUGCCCAUGCAUCGAGUUCCGCUGCGGCCUCUGUUGUUCUGCAACAAGCAGCAGCAGGUCGUCCAUGCGUUGACCGCGUCCCCUCCACCUCCUCGCUCGAUCCAGCUGCAUUGCCCCGAGCCGACCUCUCUGCUCGUCGACCUCCCAGCCCACAGCCCCGCGAGGCAUGCCUCCACCUCCUCACAGAUGGCCCAAGGCCCUGGGUGAGAAGCCCCCGGCCUUUUCCCUCUGUUGGGCCUCCUGUCCAGAUUCGGCCCAGAGUCUAUUUUUUUAGGCUAUGCGAUUUAGCUAUUAUCCUAGGAUUUAUAGAUUUGCAGAAAAAACCCUAGUAUUCAUGCAUCUAAUAACUUAAUAACCGCGUAUCGGAUUAAAAUGAUUUAAACAUAUAAAAUGCUAGAAUUUCAUCUAGUUUCAUAUUAUGCCACUUUCAUCCUUGUUAAAAAUGCUCAAAAUGUUGUUUGCAUUUAAUUUGCUCAAAUGCCAUGUUAAAGUGAUCUAUUUAAUAACUAAAUAACCGCAGCUAUGAAUUUAAUAAUCCUUAUAUGUAAAUGGGGUAAAAAAUGCAUUGUUUUACAUGGUGGCAUUACUUUGCAUGUUUAACAACUUUAAAAUAUACUUUAGGGCAGAACAAUACCAAAUUCGAAAAGAUGCAUAUGGAGAUUUUCCGGAAUUGUUGUUUGUUAUUUCCGGCCUCAUUUAAACUUGCCUAAAUAGUUAGUUUAAUUAUGCUUCACCUCUUGCCAUGUUAACCAACAUUUAAUAUUGUUGAGUAGAUUAAACAGAGAAAACUAAAUAAUUGAAUUUGGUGUUUCGUCAAUAUGCAACUCGUUGCAUAUUGAGCUCCACUUAAUUUGUAGCAUUGUCUGUUGCACCUUGCCAUAUCAUGACUCAUUAAGCCACACAUGCAUCAUACUUGAUUGUGCAUCAUGCCAUGUUUAUGCUUGUUUGUUUACUAUGUUGUUUGCUUCUUUCUGAUUGCGCUUCUCCUUGAUAGUUCCGGUUACGUUGCGAUUGUAAGGAUCCGUUCGACUACGUUGGUUCGUCUUCUUCAUGGACUUGGUCUUCUUCCUAGCGGGAUUUCAGGCAAGAUGACCAUCACCUUGGAUCUCACUACUAUCUUUGCUAUGCUAGUUGUCUCGAUGCUAUUGCUAUGUCACUCUACCCACCACUUGCUUUAUAAGCCUCCCGGUAUGCCAUUAAAAAACUUCUAACCUUCUCCACCAUCCCAACAAACCGUUGUGUGGCUAUCUUACCGCUUUGCUCAGCCCCUCUUAUAGAAUUGCUAGUUGCAGGUGCAGUUGCAGGUUGUUCCAUCUCGGGACAUGGAUAUCACAAUAUCUCUUACUUAAUUAAUGCAUCCAUAUACUUGGUAAAGGGUGGAAGGCUCGGCCUUUUGCCUGGUGUUUUGUUCCACUCUUGCCGCCCUAGUUUCCGUCAUAGCGGUGUUAUGUUCCUUGAUUUGCGUCCCUAACACGGUGAGGGUUUAUGGGCCCCUCUUGACAGUUCGCUUUGAAAGAAACUCUUCCAGCAAGGCCCAACAUUGGUUUGACCAUUUGCCUAAUAACAACUGAAACUUGCAUAGGGACUUGCUGGCCCCCGAGGUCCCUUACUCAACCCCUGGGCCAGUGCUCCUCAUGAGUGUUGGUCCACCUACCUAGCAGUCGGCGGUGCCACCUCGGGGCAACUUGAUGGUAUUUUGGCUACCGUCCACUUUGCAUUGACGGUGUUCUCCUGAGAACGGGAUACGCGCGGCUCCUAUCAGGGUAUCGACACACCGGGUGGUCUUGCUGGUUUCGUUUUAUCAUUGUUGAAAUGUCUUGUGCACCAGGAUUUCGAUUCUGAUUGGAGGGUCCCGCGAUGGAGGAUUGUCUCCGUGGAUCGUGAGCUUGUCAUGGGCUAAGUUGGGACACCCCUACAGGGUUUAAACUUUCGAGAGCCGUGCCCGCGGUUAUGUGGCAGAUGGGAAUUUGUUGAUAUCCGGUUGUAGUGACCUUUAAGUAAACUCAAUUAAAAUACACCAACCGCGUGCGUAACCAUGACUGUCUCUUUUCGGGGAAGUUCGAGAGGAGAACACGGUUGGGUUGUGUUUGAACGUAAGUAGUUCAGGACCACUUCUUGAUCAUUACUAGUUUGUGACUGUUGCGUAGUUUCUCAUCUUAUUCUUGUAUUAGUAAGUUAGCCACCAUACAAUGCUUAGUUGCUUGCUGCAACCUCACCACUUAUCCAUUCCAUACCCAUUAAGCUUUACUAGUCUUGAUACCCAUGGUAGUGGGUUGCUGAGUCCUCAUGGCUCACAGAUUACUACAACAACAGUUGCAGGUACAGGUAAUGUGAUGCUAUGACGUGAGAGCGAUGCUUGAUUUCUUUUGGAGUUCUUCUUCUUCGAUCAAGGGAUAGGUUCCGGGUCAGGGAGCCUGGGAUUAGCAGGGUGGAUGUCGUUCUUCUUUUUCGUUUGAUUUCAUCCGUAGUCGAAUCCUGCUCUUCUGUAUGAUGGUCGCUAUGUAUUGAUGAAUUGUUGUAUUCAUGUUGUAGCUUGUGGCGAGUGUAAGCCUUUAUCUUGUAUUCUCAUCUAUUCAGUACAUGGUAUGUUGUAGUGAUAUCCACCUUGCUAUGCGCCCGAAAUGCGAUUGUGCCCCAAUCAUGAAUUCAUCACGUGAUUGGGAUAGAAUCGCAUCUUGGGCGCCACAAGUUGGUAUCAGAGCCUUACCGACCUUAGGAGCCCCCUUGAUUGAUCGAACCGCCGCCGUUGUUGAGUCUAGAAGAAAACUACUUUGAGUCUAGUUAUAUCGGAGAGUAGGAAUUCUUUUUACUCCUUACCCCCUUCGUCGCUCUGGUAAGGACUCCUGAUGUAGGUGUUUUGACUUCACUCUCCUCUUUUUUCACUCAAUUUUUUUUACGAUCACGCGGGUAUUGUUGGAUCUUUCUGAUAUCAUUGUGACGGGAAUUCUGUCUUGGUGCCUCCUGACAUUUAGGGGUUGUGGUAGUGUCCUGGGGAGUUGAGAUCCAAGGUGUUUUUGUCACAAUGCUUAUCGUUUCAGUUUCGUAAUACCAGAGGUCGCCGACAUCGAAAACACGUCUAUACUCUUUGUGGUGAGAGUAGUUUGACGACACCCAGUACUGGGGAGAGCGAUCAGAUGUAUUGCCACAUCUAGUAUAUCAGAUGUUUUUGAUGGUCUGAGGUAUACGAUUUCCGAGGUUUUCUUGGUUAUGUGUUGAUAGAUGGAUAUAGUUGGAGCAUAGGGCUUGUUAGUUGUGUGAUAUAUUGUGCCUCCCUGUAUCCCCAACACCAGAUUACAUAACCAGAAAGUUUCGCAAGUUCUUAGGUGGGAAUUCAAGUAGUUUCCUAGGAUACCCUUCCAACAAAUGCAUGAGGGGUUAUGUAUUUGUUUUCGGCUUAUUCUGCAAGCCAAAUCUUUGUGUUGUUCUGAGUUGUGGUAUUCGAGUUGCUUCGAAGUCAAGUGUUGAUUCCAUACGUUGCCUAAGCGGUGUUCUCAUAUUUCUAUGGGAGUGCUAAUCCUUCUUGAUCAUCGAGACUGUCAUGUCAAUUCUUUUCCUACAGUGUUCAUUUCUUCCGUCCCAAGUUGCCUUUGUUUUCCCACCAUCCCACCCACUACUUCAAGGACUCAUAUAUCUUAAUCAAGUAUCCAUUUUAUUCAUGAGAAGUCUCUUCAUUUUUCCAUUCAACGUUCUUAUCUGGUGUUUCCUCGUGAAGAUGCUCAGGAGCUUCACAUUUAUUAUUCUUCGUUCUUUUUUCUUCUCCGGUGGACUAAAUUCAAGCUUCAAUGUUGAUCAUAUCCCUUUCCUCAUUUCAAAUGCUUUUCAUGCGGGUGCACCUCUUCAUCAUUCACCUCUUGCUAUUCAUUUGUUCCAGAGUGUUCAAGAUAUCUCCAAAGAUUCAUGUUUCCAUCCUUAAUCCUUUCAAGAUGUUUCAAGGUUCUUAUCUCAUUCAAGCCAUUUAAUUCAACCGGUGCAAUCUCUCUUUAAAAAUCACUUCAACGGUGUUUAUUUUGAGUGGGCCCAAACCCACAGGUAUUUUCCCGGGAUCUUACCCGACUCUUUUAAUUUUUCUAGAGCAAUUCUCAAAUUCUUUUCAUAGUUUGACGUAAGAAUGGAUUUUCAUCAGUCAAUUGCCUUCUCUGAGAUUGCUUUCAAAUUCUUUUCAUCUUUGGUUCAACAUUAAUAUUUUUCAUUGUUCUGGAGUGUCUCAAUAAUUUUGGUGGAGUUUCUUGUCGUCAUUCUCCACAUUGAAGACCGAAGAAGAGUUUCUCUUAAAUCUUGUUCGUUCUCUCCAAGAUUCGUAGUUGUAGCGACCCGAGCUCAAACGGUCAAGUCUCCGUGCUUCAGUGUCAUCCCUGGAUUGGUAAUGCUGACACACACAAUACUCGAAGGAUUUAUAACAGAGUAGCAAUCACACACUUAUUACAUCGAAUGUCUCAAAAGAGAACUUAUUACAAUAAAGAUAGCUUAAGGCCAUCUAAUACGAUAACAUCGGAAGGCUUGGAAGAUAAAGUGAGUCCAUCAACUCCGACGGCAUAGUUGAGCUGCACGACAACGACCUAACGAACCUUACUCCUCGUCUGAAAAGUCUGCAACAUAAUACAUUGCAGCCCGAAAACGGGUCAGCACAUGGAAUAUGCUGGCAAAGUAACACAGUAGAGCAAGAACUGAAUAAUGCUAUCACUACAUGCAUAUUUGGCUGGUGGAAAGCUCUCUGGUUAAAGUUUUGCGAAAAGCCAGUUUUUCCCUACAACAAAGGAAUAGAUUUUAUUUAACUAUCAAGGUAGUUGAAACAUCAUUGAGAAGGUUCCUCCAACUCAAUCCCAAUUAAAAGUAAUUAUCAACCCAACAAUAUUAAUUUAGAGUAAUGAGAUACAUAUGAUAAUCCAAGUACUAGAUACUCAAGAUGUCCAUAACCGGGGACACGGCUAACCAUGAUUAGUUUGUACACUCUGCAGAGGUUUGCGCACUUUUCCCCACAAGACUCGAUCUCCUCCGUUGGAUUUCUCGCACUACAUGGUGUUUGAGAAAUGGAUGACCGAGACACAGUCUUUCAGAAGCAUUAGCUCUAACCCCGGGUAGAUAGUACCAACCUACAUCCCUCUACAUCUGCUAGACUACCACUGGAAGAGGUCAUGCAACUUACUCAACUAUGCUAGAGCCCAUAAUAGCUUGUGGCUGCACACGGAAGUUUCUAACAUGAAAUAUCUCAGUUCCCUUUGAGCCUGGGUGGGGGACCUUAGGAUUAUCACACGGGUACUCCGGGAUAUUCUAGGACAACACUAGAUUCUCUAGGUGCCGGACAAGCAAUCCACCGAGAUGUGUAUUAAAGUUGCCACCUUAAGUUGAACCAUUAAUUAACAAUCUCACAUAUGUCAUGGAUUCACUUACCCAAACCACGUCUACGAGCAUAGCAUAUCAAUAGAAGUAAUACAUAGAAGUAACUCCCAAGGGUUUGAUAAUAACAUGGCAAUAGGUUCUACCUCAUCAACUACUUCCCAAUCCCACAUGUUAUCAAGUCCUAACCAUGCAAUGUUUGAGGGUUGAAACAAAUGCAUAAAAACUAGGUGAUAAAGGGAUAUGAUCAAAGUGUUACUUGCCUUGCUGAUGAUCCGCAAAACCUAGAGACUCGUAGUAGCACACUUCGCACUCUGGGUGUUCUAUCGCAAACAAACAACAACAUACAUAAGCAAUCAAGCAAAGAAGCACAGGUAAAACACGAAUAAGAAGAUCUAACCAGAAAGUUCAACUUGAGAACUCUGCUUUGCAAAAAGAAUCGAAUCAAACGGAGCAACGAAACUCAAACGGUGAAAGAAACAAGAUCUGAUUACUAAUCUGGACUAAAAUCAAAUUUUACUAUGCCAAAAUCUUGUACAAGUUUGUUAAACGGAAAGAGGGCUUUGAGGCAAAGAUCUAGGCGCUUGAAUCGCCUGAUUCCGAUAAAUGAGCAAAAAGAUAAACUAAAACGAAAAUCAGAAAUCACGAUAAAAAAUAAUCGCGGAAAAUCCAAAAAAGAGAAAAACUGAUGAACAGGCUAACGAACAAACGUUCGCUGUCUGUGGCUAACGAGUGAACACCGUUCAGUAAAACGAACGUACGGACGAAUGUCCACUAAGUAACUAAACUGAGAAAACCGGCGAACCAUUCUAAAAAACCAAAACUAGGGUUUCAAAAAAACCGAUGGUUUUAUCUAAACCGUAAAAAAAUCGGACGGCGAGAUCCGAACUCUUGCGCGGUUCCAGCGUCUUCCGGCGAGCGGGGCGACGGCGCGGGCAACGGCGGGGUGCGGCGGGGCGGCGCGGGGUGGCUAGCGGGCGGCGACGACAGAAGCNNNNNNNNNNNNNNNNNNNNNNNNNNNNNNNNNNNNNNNNNNNNNNNNNNNNNNNNNNNNNNNNNNNNNNNNNNNNNNNNNNNNNNNNNNNNNNNNNNNNNNNNNNNNNNNNNNNNNNNNNNNNNNNNNNNNNNNNNNNNNNNNNNNNNNNNNNNNNNNNNNNNNNNNNNNNNNNNNNNNNNNNNNNNNNNNNNNNNNNNNNNNNNNNNNNNNNNNNNNNNNNNNNNNNNNNNNNNNNNNNNNNNNNNNNNNNNNNNNNNNNNNNNNNNNNNNNNNNNNNNNNNNNNNNNNNNNNNNNNNNNNNNNNNNNNNNNNNNNNNNNNNNNNNNNNNNNNNNNNNNNNNNNNNNNNNNNNNNNNNNNNNNNNNNNNNNNNNNNNNNNNNNNNNNNNNNNNNNNNNNNNNNNNNNNNNNNNNNNNNNNNNNNNNNNNNNNNNNNNNNNNNNNNNNNNNNNNNNNNNNNNNNNNNNNNGGGGGCGGGGAGGCGUGGCCGGCUCGGCCUCGGCGGGCGGCGGCGUGGUGGUCGCGGUCUCCGCGAGGAAGACGGCGGCGCGGCGGCGGCUGGGCCAACUAGGCCUCGGCCUAGUUCGGUCCGGAGGGCUUUUUUUAAAUAAUGUUCCGACGAAAACAAAUCCUAGAAAAAUAAAUAAAAAUCUAAAAAUGCCAAAACAAAUUUUCACCAUCUAAAUAAAAUAUUUAGAACAAGAUGAACAUUUUCUUGGCCCUAAAAUGCAAUUUUGAAAACAUUCAAUUUUUCUAAUGCAAAUAAAAUUGCAAUAAAAUCCGGAUAAAAGAAAAUAUUUGAUUUUAAUAUUUUUCCUCCAAUAUUUCAUUUAUUUUGAAGAAGUCGUAUUAUAUCUCCUCAUAUAUUUUAACAUGAAAUAUUUUCGAAGAGAAAAAUAAUUAAAACCAAUAAUCCUCGUUUCAAUAUGUGAUAAAAUUCAAAUAUGAAAACAGUGAAAUCCCCAACUCUCUCUCCGAGGGUCCUUGAGUUGCUUAGGAUUUCGAGGCUCAAGCCAAGAUGCAAUAAAAUAUGAUAUGCAAUGAUGACCUAAUGUAUAACAUUCCAAAUUGAAAAUUUAGGAUGUUACAGUAGUUCAAGCUUCAUGCCAUCCUCAUAAUUAUUCGAAUCAUGAUAAAUUAUUUCUCACCCAUCCGGAGUAUUCAGGAGUUGUUUUCCGUUUUGAUUAUCCAGAGGCCUUCAUUUUAGAAUAUUUCUUUGUUCCAAGUUUUCAGCUUCGGUCUCCAAUUAUUCUAAACCGACAACACUUCAUUUGUCUCCAUAUUUGUACCGGUUCAUCGUUCAAGAAUUCUUUAGUCAGCUUGUGGUCUCUUUGUUCUUUUGUUUCUAAAUUCCCGCAAGUAUCUUUGUUUGCAUCAUAACUCUUUCUAGUGAUUCAUCAUCCGUUUCAAUUCUUACAGCGAUUCGUUCAAGAUACCUCCUCCUUUGCUAUCGUAUAAAUUAAUUUGUUCUUUCCAAAUCCUGCCGGUGGUUCAUUGAAGACCUUUCCAAGUUUGCACUAUAUCUCUCCCGAAUCCUUUUUUUCAAUGGGGAUAAGUAGUAUGCCAAAUCCAUUGCUUGUCAUCAAUUUAAUUUGAUGAAGGAUAAGGAUACAAUAAAUCUUAUUCUUAUUUCCUUGAGGUGAUUCAAUUCUUUUCUUCCGGAGAUGUUCAUGAUGAGUAAAUUCUUGAUUACAAGUGAUCCAUCUUUCUUUCCGGAGUUGUUCAUCAUAUCACAUUCUCGGUUCGAGAUGCUUCAUCUUUUCUUUUCAGAGUUCCAAGCUCUCUCAAUUAUCUCGUCGUGAAGCUCCGUCUAAAUCAUUGCAAGGCUUCACCUUGUGUUUUCAACUUCUCUUUAUUUCUAUCAUCCUUUUAUUACCGGAGUUAUUCAUGGAGGCUCUACAUGGUGGUUCGUCAAGGAUUCCUUUCAUUCUUCAAUUGUUCUUCAAGAUUUCUCUCGAAGUUAAGAUCCUCCAAGCUAUACUAAAAAAUAAAUAUGGUGCUCAACACAUGUUUUUUAGGAGUUCAAGCAUUCUUCAUCUUGCAUCCAAAGUGCAGUUCUUUCUAUCUCAUCUUUUGAGGUGGUUUUAUGUCACUCUUGACAAUUUCCUUCAUGUUUCAUGAUUCACAAGUUGUCAGGAAUGAGAUAUUUAAACCCAUUAAUUACUUCAUUGGAGUAUCUUGGUAUAGAUUUCACCUAAAGCCUUCCAUUGGGAAUGUUGUUAUUUGUGGUGCUUAUCAAUGAUCUAAGGUUUCUCCUAUCCUCUCGAUGAAAGAAGUUUUCAUCUCCUUGUUGAUCUCAAUCCAAUCAACUAUUUCCAUUAGUGGCCGGUUGUCACCUCAUAAUUUGAGAUGUUUUCCAUAAGCCCACACAAGCUUAUUAUUUUAAUUGUUGAUUUUCCAACAACUUCGUUCAACCCUUCUACGUAAGGAUGCUUUUCAAAUUCAUUUGUGGUAGGAGUUGUUGUUCUCUUCUACGUUUCUUUCAUUCCAUUCUUUAUUUGUUUCGGAGGCAAUGUGAUGUUGCUCUCUUCACUCAUCAUCUCGUUUGGUAAAGAUCAUAUUCUUUUCCUUGCUUAUCCUUUUAAACAGAGUGUGGUGUUCUCUUUUCAAGUUCUUUUCAUCUUAUCAAGUUUUCCUUCUCUUUUCUACUGGAGUGUUGUCCAAAUUCUGCGGUCAUUACAACUCUCCAAAACGCUCCACAGGCCUUCCAUGUUUUGCAUGACCGCUGUGUGUUUAUUUGUAUGCUGCAUUUCAUCAUUGCAUCAUUCGCAUUACAUCGGCACUCUUUGCCGUCAUUGUUUUCAAAACUUGCAUCCGUUCCUAGUUGACGCUUCUCCUCGUGGUCUCCAUUGACUUUUCUCAGACCAACCGUGUUUUUGAUUCCCUCUUGUCAAACCACCUAACCUCUCUUGACAGCCCGCAGUCCCCUCGCAUGCGCGUUCAAAAACUCCCCUAAACCCAACAUGGGCCAUCAUCACCGUUGGAUUCGGAUCAUCCCCAAACAUCCCUAAAAUAUCUUCGGUUCUUUGUUGGACUCCUCUAAGCUAUUUAUUCUCGACCGCCCGAUUACGAUCAGAGGGACGGAUUAGCCCCUAACCAAAAACCCACUUGCUAUAUAUAGACGGAACCCUAGAAAUUAGGAGCCUUGUCCCAUCCUCCCAGCCGCCGCCGCCAAUCCUCUUCCACCUCGGGAUCCUCCCGAUCCAAAUCCACCCGCAGCCAACCAUCUCCCUCCUUGUGUUCAGCCACCACCCAACCAGCGCCCUCCAUCGAUCUCCCUGAUACGUCUCCAACGUAUCUAUAAUUUAUGAAGUAUUCAUGCUAUUAUAUUAUCAACCUUAGAUGUUUUAUAUGCGUUUAUAUGCUAUUUUAUUUGGUUUUUGGGACUAACCUAUUAACCUAGAGCCUAGUGCUAGUUUCUGUUUUUUCCUUGUUUUAGAGUAUCGCAGAAAAGGAAAACCAAACGGAGUCCAAUUGACCUGAAACUUGAUGGAGCUUAUUUUUGGACCAGAAGAAGGCUAUGGAGUAAAAGAGUUGGGCCAGAAGAGUCCCGGGCUGCCCACGAGGGUGGGAGGCGCGCCCACCCCCUGGGCGCGCCCCCUACCUCGUGGACAGCCCGAAGACCCCCCCGACUUUUUCUCGAUGCCAAAACCUCUUAUAUAUACAGAAACCUCCAGAAAUUAACCUAGAUCAGGAGUUCUACCGCCGCAAGCCUCUGUAGCCACGAGAAAUCAAUCUAGGCCCUCUCUGGCACCCUGCCGGAGGGGGCCAUCAUCACCGAAGGGCAUGUAGGAGGAUCUCGGAGGGCCCAUCAUCGUUAUGAAGGCCAAGGACCAAAGGGAGAACCUCUCCCCAUCCAGGGGGAGGCCAUGGAGGAGGAAGCACAAGGGGGAGAACCUCUCCUCCUCUCUCUCGGUGGCGCCGGAGUGCCAUCGGGAGGGGAAUCAUCGUCGCGGUGAUCAUCUUCAUCAACAUCACCAUCAUCAUUACCAUCCUCAUCUCCUUUACACGGUCAACUCUCCCGCACCCCGCUGUAAUCCCUACUUGAACAUGGUGCUUUAUGCCGCAUAUUAUGAUCCAAUGAUGUGUUGCCAUCCUAUGAUGUUUUGAGUAGAUAUCCUUUGUCUUUGGGUUGAUUGAUGAUCUAGAUUGGUAUGAGUUGUAUGUUUUAUUUUGGCUUUGUCCUAUUGUGCCCUCCGUGUCGCGCAAGCGUGAGGGAUUCCCGCUAUAGGGUGUUGCAAUACGUUCAUGAUUCUCUUAUAGUCGGUUGCUUGAGUGACAGAAGCAUAAACCCGAGUAAGGGGAUUAUUGCGUAUGGGAUAAAGGGGACUUGAUGCUUUAAUGCUAUGGUUGGGUUUUACCUUAAUGAUAUUUAGUAUUUGCGGAUGCUUGCUAGAGUUCCAAUCAUAAGUUCAUAUGAUCCAAGAUGAGAAAGUAUGUUAGCUUAUGCCUCUCCCUCAUAUGAAAUUGCAAUGACGACUAUCGGUCUUGUUAACAAUUGCCUAGGACAAUUCCGCACACUGAUCUACCAUUAUUCCACACUCGCUAUUUAUAAUAUUUAGUAAUAUAUUCUAACUUUAUGAUAACAGCACCUACUUUUAUAUUUUAGCUCUCUGAUAUCAUACAAAGUUAUCCUCUUCAUACCCACAACGUAGUUUUAUUUCUUGUUGCUAUUUGGAAGCAAACGUUCGGUGUACGUAGAGUCGUAUCAGUGGCAGAUAGGGCUUGAGAGAAUAUUGAUCUUACCAGAUCCUUGUGGGUUCGACACUCCAUACUUAUCACUUCCACCUUUGGAAAUUGAUACGAUGAUUCCCUGCACUUGGGGAUUAUCAAGCUCUUUUCUGGCGCCGUUGCCGGGGAGCAGUAGCAUCGGGUUGAUAUUCUCGUGUGUGCUUGUUUGUUUUCUUCACUAAGUAGAUUUUGUUUUUACUUUUUGUUUCUAUUUAGUUGUGGGUGAAACAUACAUUUUUUUAAAUAAUGAAAAUACAAAAAAAUUACUUGCCUCUCAUGCCUAAAAAGUUUUUCAAAAAGAGAAGUGAUUGGAAAGUUAUGCAUUGAAGAAGCGAGGGUCGACCUUGAGCACUUGUGUUCCUGCUCACGGAAACAAUGUAGAAUUUUUCAUGGAAUUUUCUCUGUAAAUAAUUAUCCCCUUAUAUAUAUCCAUUGUAUUAUAAAAAUAUUGUGCCAAGCUUUGGUUUUAGGAUGAUUAGAUUGCUUGUUUACUAUGUGCAGAACAAAAACAGAAACUUUGACUGUAGCGCGUGAUUUUACAUUUUUUACUGGAACGUUAAAUGGGUCUGAAACUUUUUGCACAUUACUUCUGUGCAAAUUGUUAAAUUUUUUAAAUUUAUUUCAUAGUUUUUGGAGUUACAUAAGUUUACUAAACCUCCAGAUUACUACAGACUGUCCUGUUUUAGACAGAUUCUGUUUUCUAUGAGUUGUUUGCUUAUUUUGAUGAAUCUAUGGGUAAUAUCGGGGGGUAUGAACCAUGGUGAAGUUGGAAUACAGUAGAUAUAGUUCUAAUAUGAAAUUGAAAUAAGUUUGCAACAGUACCUAAAGGUAGUGAUUUGCUUUAUUUACACUAACGGAUCUCACAAAGUUUUUGUUAAAGUUUUGUGUGGAUGAAGUGUUCGAAGAUCAAGGAGCUAUCAAUAUGAGAAGAAUAAAGAUAGGCAAGAGAUCAAGCUUGGUUAUGCCCAAGGCACCCCAAUUAAAUAUUUCAAGGAUACUCAAGCAUCUAAGCUUGGGGAUGCCCAGGUUGGCAUCCCAUCUUUCUUCUUCAACAAUUAUCGGUAUACCUCGGUUUUUGUUUUGUUCACAUGAUUUGUGUCCUUUGUGUUUUCUGUUUUUUCCUUUAAACCAUGCUAGUAUGGGAUGUCCCUUCAUAAAUUUAUAGAAUAAUUCAUGUGCUUCACUUAUAUCUUUUAAGUAUGAUCUUAUAGAAUUGCUCUUUGAGCUUCACUUAAAUCUUUUGAGUAUGGUUUUAUAGAAUGCUUCAUGUGCUUCACUUAUAUAUUUUGAGCUUGGAUAUUGGUUAGUAUAUAUUAAUUGUAGAAUGCUCCAUGAACUUCACUUAUAUCUUUUGGAGUAUGAAUAAUACUAUCAUCUAAAGCAGGCUUGGAAGAGUGUCAACUUUAGGAACUAGUGAUCCCGCUUUUCCGAAUGAGGAGAAUUUUGCUUAUGUGGAGAGUAGUAAAAUUUCUAUGCUCGUAGAUCAUGAAAAGAAUGCUUUAUGUGAUGGUUAUAUUGUUAAACUCAUUCAUGAUGCUACUGAAAAUUAUUAUGAGGGAGGAAUACAUGUUUGUAGGAGUUGCAAUAUUAUCAAGUUUCCUCUCUAUAUGCUUAAAGUUUUGAAGUUAUACUUGUCUUUCCUUCCUAUGCUAGUUGAUUCUUGCUCCUAUAAAUUAUGUUCUCACAAAAUCCCUAGGCAUAGGAAGUGGGCUAGAUUUAAAUAUGCUAGUCAUAUUCUUCAUGAUGCUCUAUUUAUGUUUCAAUUCUUAUCUUUUAUGUGAGCAUCAUAGAAAUCAUCGUGCCUAGCUAAAAGACAUUAAAGAAAAGCGCUUGCUGGGAGACAACCCAAUAUUUACCCUUACUAUUUUUGUGUGUUCUCAUGAUUAAGCUACUUUAGUAAUCAUGUUUUAUAGCUUUUUUUCAAUAAAGUGCCAAGUAAGACCUUUGGGAAGACUUGGAUGAAAGUUAAUGUGAUCUUGCUGUAAAAGACAGAAACUUUGCACUCACGAGAUUAGAUGCCAUUUUUUACAGAAGAGUGUGAUUGAGUUGAUUAUUUUUUUCAGAAGAUUAAUAGACAAAUUCCUCAUGUCCAACAAUUUAUUUAAGAAUUUUUGGAGUAGCAGAAGUAUGGUUGGUGUUCAGAUCAUUACAGACUGUUCUUUUUCUGACAAAUUCUGUUUUCAUUGCAUAGUUUGCUUGUUUUCUAGUUUCUAUGGCUUAUAUUUCUCAAUAUAAAUUGUAUAAAUGAUAUGGUACAGUAGGCAUUGUGUGAUAAAAAUCAUGAACCUUGUCUUUGACAGUACCAAAGUGAAUGAUUUACUCUUUAUCAUACUAACCCAUCUCACGAAGUUCCGUUAAGUUUUGUGUGAUUGAAGUUUUCAAGCUUUGGGUGAGAUAUCGAUAUGAGGAGAAUAAGGAGUGGAAAGACCCUAAGCUUGGGGAUGCCCAAGGCACCCCAAGGUAAUAUUCAAGGAAUACUCAAGCGCCUAAGCUUGGGGAUACCGCGGAAGGCAUCUCCUCUUUUGUCUUCAAAACUAUCGGUAUACCUUACUCGGAGCUAUAUUUUUAUUCGUCACAUGAUAUGUGUUUUGCUUGGAGCGUAUUUUCAAUUUUACUUGCUGUUUGAAUAAAAUCAUUGGAUAUGAAAUCUUGAAUGAAAAAGAAUCCUCCCAUGGCUAGUUAAUUAUUUGACUACUUAGUGCCCUUCACUUAUAUCUUUUGGAGUAGUUUGUCAUUUACUCACGUGCUUCACGUAGAUUCUUUGAGUAAAUGCUUGAAUAAUUGAAUAUCAUAAAUCUGAAUUUAUAUAUGUUUCAUAUGCUUAUACCAUGGGAGUAAUGACUUUACACAGAAUAAGUAUAGGUAGUAAACUUAUUGAAAGUUAGCAAACGUAGAAUUGGUCACUUGAACAAUUCAUGAAAGAAUAUUGAAGGAAGAAAGAUUUCACAUAUAAAUAUACUAUCUUGGACAUCUUUUGUAAUUGCGAGCACUCAUUAAAAUAUGACAUGCUAAAAGGUUGAUGUCGGACAAGGAAGAUAACGUAAUGGGUUAUGUUUUCUUAUAUCUGAAAUAAAGUAUAUUGUCUUGGAUCAUCUAACAUGUUGAGUGUUACCUCUUGAGCAUGCCUUGGUUUUCCCUUGAAGAGGAAAGGGUGAUGCAGCAAAGCAGCGUAAGUAUUUCCCUCAGUUUUUGAGAACCAAGGUAUCAAUCCAGUAGGAGACCACGCGCGAGUCACCUCGUACCUACACAAACAAAUAAGAACCUCGCAACCAACGCGAUAAAGGGGUUGUCAAUCCCUUCACGGCCACUUGCAAGAGUGAGAUCUGAUAGAGAUAAUAAUAAUAAGAUAAAUAUUUUUGGUAUUUUUGUGAUAUAGAUUGAAAGUAAAGAUUGCAAAAUAUAAUAGAUUGAAAACUUGUAUGAUAGAGAAUAGACCCCGGGGCCAUAGGUUUCACUAGUGGCUUCUCUCAAGAUAGCAUAAGCAUUACAGUGGGUGAACAAAUUAUUGUCGAGCAAUUGAUAGAAAAGAGAAUAAUUAUGAGAAUAUCUAGGUAUGAUCAUGUAUAUAGGAAUCACGUUCGUGACAAGUAGACUGACUCCUGCCUGCAUCUACUACUAUUACUCCACACAUCGACCGCUAUCCAGCAUGCAUCUAGAGUAUUAAGUUCAUAAGAACGGAGUAACGCUCUAAGCAAGAUGACAUGAUGUAGAGGGAUAAACUCAUGCAAUAUGAUAUAAACCCCAUCUUUUUAUCCUCGAUGGAAACAAUACAAUGCAUGUCAUUUCCCUUUAUGUCACUAGGAUCGAGCACCGCAAGAUUGAACCCAAAGCUAAGCACUUCUCCCAUUGCAAGAAAGAUCAAUCUAGUAGGCCAAACCAAACUGACAAUUCGAAGAGACUUGCGAAGAUAACCAAUCAUACAUAAAAGAAUUCAGAGAAGAUUCAAAUAUUGUUCAUAGAUAAUCUUGAUCAUAAACCCACAAUUCAUCGGAUCUCGACAAACACACCGCAAAAGAAGAUUACAUCGAAUAGAUCUCAAAGAGAAUCGAGGAGAACUUUGUAUUGAGAUCCAAAGAGAGAGAAGAAGCCAUCUAGCUAAUAACUAUGGACCCGAAGGUCUGAGGUAAACUACUCACACAUCAUUGGAGGGGCCAUGGAGUUGAUGUAGAGGCCCUCCGUGAUCAAUGCCCCCUCCGGCGGAGCUCCGGAAAAGGCCCCAAGAUGGGAUCUCUUGGGUACAGAAGGUUGCGGUGGUGGAAUUAGGUUUUCGUGGUGCUCCCCGAUGUUUUCAGGGUACGUAGGUAUAUAUAGGAGGAAGAAGUAGGUCGGUGGAGCCACAAGGGGCCCACGAGGGUGGAGGGCGCGCCGAAGGGGGGUAGGCACGCCCCCUGCCUCGUGGCCUCCUCGUUGAUUGCUUGACGUCCACUCCAAGUCCUCUGGAUCACGUUUGUUCCAAAAAUCAUGCUCCCAAAGGUUUCAUUCCGUUUGGACUCCGUUUGAUAUUCUGUUUCCGUGAAACACUGAAAUAGGCAAAAAAACAGCAAUUUGGGCUGGGCCUUUGGUUAAUAGGUUAGUCCCAAAAAUGAUAUAAAAGUGUAUAAAUAAGCCCAUUAAACAUCCAAAACAGAAUAUAUAAUAGCAUGGAGCAAUAAAAAAAUUAUAGAUACGUUGGAGACGUAUCGUUGAGCUUGCCUUUCCCUCUCAUGCUAGCCAAAUUUUUUGCACCAAGUAGAGAUACUACUUGUGCUUCCAAAUAUUCCUUAAACCAGUUUCGCCAUGAGAGUCCAUCAUACCUACCUAUGGAUUGAGUAAGAUCAUUCAAGUAAGUUGCCAUCGGUGCAUGCAAUAAAAAAUGCUCUCUAAAUAUGUAUGAUUUAUUAGUGUAGAGAAAAUAAGCUUUAUACAAUCUUGUGAUGUGGAAGAAAUAAAAGCGACGGACUGCAUAAUAAAGGUCCAUAUAUCACACGUGGCAAUAUAAAGUGGCAUUAUUUUGCAUUAAGAUUUUGUGCAUCCAACCAUAAAAGCGCAUGACAACCUCUGCUUCCCUCUGCGAAGGGCUAUCUUUUACUUUUAUCUUCUACCUUAUGCAAGAGUCACGGUGAUCUUCACCUUUCCUCUUUACAUUUUAUCCUUUGGCAAGCACAUUGUGUGUGUGUGUGUAUAUAGCCGGUAUAUUAUGCUAAUAUUAGCAGAAUAGUUAUUCUGAUAACACUUCCGCACUACACGCUCAACGCGAGAGCACUGCACUUUCUUUUGCAAGGGCACUGCAAUACAGAGUAGUGAACUUCGUGUCGGGAAAAACUGCACGCAGUGUUUCUCCGGUACUGUUUUCGCUCUAGUUUUUUUAACCAUUUAUCAGAACGAGGCGUAUAAUAUACCGUUGGAAAGCUAUGGAUUAGGCGCAACUUUGCUAUGUUGAACAUUUUUCGAGAUUCAUCGCGGUUUAAGAGCAGUUUAAAAAACGGUGCAGCAAACGACGAGUGGCAGCGAGCGUAUUUUCGCGAUUUUUUCUAAACCCCUUGUCUGAAUGAAGCAAAUGAUACACCAUUGGAAAGAUAUCGUCGAGGUGCAUCUUUUUCAUAUAUAUAUAUAUAUAUAUAUAUAUAUAUAUAUAUAUAUAUAUUAGUUUCUCUAAUUCGUUACGGUUUAAGAGCAGUUUUAAAUUUAGUAAAUCACGGAAUUCUGUUUUUUCAAAUUAUUUGCAAUUUUCGUAUUGUUUUCACUCUAGUUUUUGAACUGUUUGUCGAAACGAGACGUGUGAUACGCCACUAGAAAGCUACAGACGAGGCGCAACUUUCAUAUGUUGAAAUGUUUUUGAGAUUCUUUACGGUUUUUAGUUAAUUUUGAAAAUGGUGUGGCUGACAUUGAGUGGCAGCAACCGUUUUCCCCGAAAUUUUUACAAACCGCUAGUCGAAAUGAUUCUAAUUAUACGCCGUUGGAAAGAUAACAAUGAGACGCAACUUUUUCAUGUAGAACACACUCUCUAAUUCCUUACGGUUUAAGAGCAAUUUCAAUUUCACCAAAAUGCGGAAACUCUGUUUUUCGCGACACCCAAAUCGACUUGUGUACUGCAUCAGACAGAAGAACGCAGUGCUUCAGACAGGAAGCCGCACCCCAUCAGAUGGGCAAACGAACUGCUUGAUUUCUUUUAUUUACACGUAAAUUUUCUCAUGCGAGGAAGUGGACGGGACUUCAAAUCGGGCGUAAGUGAACCCCAAAUGCAUGGAGAAGUAAACCGCAUUACUUUAUUUGUCGUUUCAGUAACAUUUUUUCUUUGCAUUUACAAGAUGAACAACAUCAGACAUCCGACCGCACUGCUUCAGUUAGAAAACCGCACUUCAUCAAAUGGUCACUUGCGAUAUGAACAGCAUCAGACACCCGACCACACUGCUUUAGUUAGAAAACCGGCACUGCAUCAAAUGGUCAAGUGAACAACAUUACUUUUUUGUCGUUUCUCUACCAUUUUUCAUUUAACACAUCUUUACACUGCAUCAAAUGGUCAAGUGAACGACAUUACUUUUUUUGUCGUUUCUCUACCAUUUUUCAUUUAACACAUCUUUGCACUUCAUUUCCUUCUUUUUUUCUGUUUGGAGUUUUGGGUCUCCACAUUGGCGAGCUGUACACGUGCGAAGAAGCGAACCACAUGGUCGAGGGAAAUGAGCCGCAACACAAUUCGAAAUGAACUUAUUUGGUAAACAAUUCUCAAAGAGUCCAUAUAACUUUUAUACAUAAAAUCAUCAAACACAAAAAACACCAUUUUUGCACUACAUGUCCACAUGGUCGAAACUGCAUGCUCAUGUCUGAACAUCACCAUGUUUCGCUGCAAUCAAAUGAGUUCCUAUAAUCUUUAUACCAAAAAAACCCACACAAACACAAAAGCAGCAUCUGCACUACAUGUGCAGAUACUCCAAACUGUAAUUUCUGAGGGAAAAUUUUGUUUUUGCCACUCUAGAUUUUGCCAAUUUUCCUUAUGCCACUCUAGAUUUUGACAUUUCACUUUUGCCACUCUUAGUUUUUGACAAUUAUCACAAUUGCCAUUCCCGUGGCAAAAGCAAAAUUUUCAAAGUGGCAAUUGUCAUAAUUGUCAAAAGCUAAGAGUGGCAAGAACAAAAUAAAAUUAUUUUGCUUUUGCCACUGAAUGGCAAUUGUGAUAAUUAUCAAAAACUAAGAGUGGCAAAAGUGAAAUGUCAAAAUCUAGAGUGGCAUAAGGAAAAUUGGCAAAAUCUAGAGUGGCAAAAACAAAAAUUUCCCAAUUUCUGAACACUUUCAAAUAAAGUCCCUGUAAUUUUUAUACAUAAACUACUCAAAAACAAAAUGCACCAUUUUGCACUGCAUGUUCACAUGCUCCAAACUGCAUGGUACAUGCUCAAAAACAAAAUCCUUCUUUGUAGAUACACACACAUUAACUAAACUACACGGGGCGGCCAACUACUAAAAUGCACACGCAGAGGCACCAACUAUAAAACACGGGACAAGCUGACGAGCCGCUAUCAAAACUGCACGCUGAUGGACUCUAAGAACCUUCUGCGCACAGUCGAGUAAAACGCAUGACGCGCACAUCCAUAUCGAAGCAACGCACAGCCGAAACCAAACUACACGCCCGUCGUCCUCUCAUGUGCCUGCGUACUGCACCGGCGACCCAACCGAGCUGCAAUGAGAAGCAACCUGCACUGCUCGACAUCACGUGGGGAACAACAGUGAGCUGCAAUGAGAAGCAACAGUGAGCCCUUGCCAGCGCAGCUCCUGCAACAAAAAU
rnacentral:lncRNA from 1 species